UAAUUAUUCCUGUUCCUUAAGUUCAAAGCUGAACAGUACGAAGUACAACUAUGUGUUGCUGUGCAUAAAAGUACAGUAAACUAUAAUUAUUAUAUUUCUUUACACCAAAAUACCCUUCACUUUUGACAUAUUACAAUGCUAAACAAGAGGGUAAAAUUGGAAACAUUGCUGCUUUUAAGAUGCUGAGCUUCCAUUGAUGAACAACCACCAAAACCCAAAAGCUCAGCUCAGAGGGGAUUUGGAGCUGACCCGAGGUCGACCUGGCACGCAGCCCGAGAUUGUGUUGUUGAUGUAAAAGGGUGUGUUUGGUAUGUAGAAAAAUGUGAUCUUUUUUGAUGAUGAAUUUUAUGUGAGAAGAAGAAAGUUUGGGAAUUUGCUUUGUGAAAACUAAGGGCAUGUUUGGACAUGCAAUGUUGGGUUGUUAAACUAAAAGGGUGUGUUUGAUUUGAAGAAAAAUGUGAUCUUUUUUGAUGAUGGAUGAAGAAAAAUGUGAUCUUUUUGGUGAAAACUAAGGGCCUGUCUGGACAUGCUAUAUUGUCUUGUUAAUCUAAAAGGGUGUGUUUGGUUUGAAGAAAAAUGUGAUUUUUUUUUUUUUUUUGAUGAUGGAUGAAGAAAAAUGUGGUCUUUUUGGUGAAAACUAAGGGCCUGUUUGUAUAUGCAAUAUUGUGUUGUUAAACUAAAAGGGUGUGUUUGGUAUGAAGAAAAAUGUGAUGUCUUUGAUGAUGAGUUUCAUAUGAAAAGAAAGUUGGGAAAUUUUCUUGGUGAAAACUAAGGGGCUGUUUGGACAUGCAAUAUUGUGUUGCUAAACUAAAAGUGUGUGUUUGUAUGAAGAAAAAACUAAAAGUGUGUGUUUGGUAGGAAGAAAAAUGUGAUCAUUUUUGAUGAUGAGUUUCAUCUAAGAAGAAGAAAGUUUGGGAAUUUUCUUGGUGAAAAUUAAGGGCCUGUUUGGACAUGCAAUGUUGAGUUGCUAAACUAAAAGUGUGUGUUUGGUAUGAAGAAAAAUGUGAUUUUUUUGAUGAUGAGGUUCAUCUAAGAAGAAGAAAGUUUGGGAAUUUUCUUGGUGAAAAUUAAGGGCAUGUUUGGACAUGCAAUAUUGUGUUGUUAAUCUAAAAGGUAAUCUUUAGUAUGAAAAAAAAUGUGUUCUUUUUUGAUAAUGAGUUUCAUCUGAGAAGAAGAAAGUUGGGAAAUUUUUUGCUGAAAACUAAGGUGUUGUAUGUUUUUCUAAAGUAAAAGGUGGUGUUUGGUAUGAAGAAAAGAUUUUUUUUUUUUUUAAAUUUUAAUGAUGAAUUUCAUUAAUGUUUGGUUACUAAUGUAGUCCUUCAGUGAAGAAGAAAGUUGGAAAAUUUCUGGUGGAAAACCAAAAAAGAAAAAAGACUUAGGCAAGAAAGAAAAAUGAUGUGAAUAGAGAGAAGGGAUAUUUUUGUUAAGGGUGGUUGCCCCUCUCUGUUGUGCCAAUGAUAUUCUUUUUUAACAACUAAAGCAACAGCCCUUGUUGACGAAAUACUCAGACAAGCAAUUGUUUAGUCUGUGUGAUGUAUUGUUAUUCUAAAAGGUGUCUUUGGUGUGAGGGAAAAUAUUUUCUUUUUAUGAUGAAUUUCAUCAGUGUUUGGUUACUAAUGUAGCCCUCUGAAAAGAAGAAAGUUCGGAAAAUUUUCUGAUGAAAACGGAGAACUUUCCUAAAGGAAGUUAGCCGAGGAAGAAAAAUGAGGUGAAUAGAGAGAAGGAUUUUUGUCAACGGUGGCUGCCCCUCUCUGUUGUGCCGAUGAUUUUGUUUUUUGCAGCUAGAAGCAACAGCCCUUGUUAAUGAAAUACUCAGAGAAACAACUGUUCAGUCUGUAUGUUGUAUUAUUUAUCUAAAAGGAUGUGUUUGGUAUGACGAAAAAUGUUCUUUCUUUUCUUUAAUGAUGAGUUUCAUCAGUGUUCGGUUACUAAUGUUGACCUUUUGAUAAGAAGAAAGUUGAGAAAUUUUCUGGUGAAAACUUCAAGAAUUUUCCUAAAAAAGUUCAGCCCAGAAAGAGAAAUGAGGUUAAUAGAGAGAAGGGAUUUUUCUCAGGGUGGUUGUCCCUCUCUAUGACACCAAUGAUUUCUCAUAUGGAAAAAAAGGAAAAAAAAUCAAACAGCCCUUGAGAAUUUAUGACAAAAUGGUCCUUUACGUUAUGGAAUUGAGCUAUAUUCAGCUCACAAGUCACAAAGAUAGAUAGAGCGAGAGAGAGAGAGAGAGAGAGAGAAAGAGAAAGUUUUGAGGCUGCAAUUGGUACUUGGCAAGAGAAUUCAAAGAACGUAUCUUGGCGGGGCGGCCCGGAAUGCAACCCGAGGUUAGCAGCCAUGGCGAUGUCUAUAUUCUCUUGUUUUAUCAACUGAUUCGACCUUCAAUUUUACUCUUGAAGCUUGUGUUGUGUUGUUAUUUUGAAAGAGUGUGUUUGGUAUGAAGGAAAAUGUUUUCGUUUUUAUGAGGAGUUGAUGAAAGUUGGAGAAUUUUCUGUUGAAACUAAGGGCCUGUUUGGACAUGAGAUACGGUGUCAUGAGGUUAAUGGAGAGAAGGAUUUUUUGUUAAGGUUGGUUGCUCCUCUCUAUUAUGCCCAUGAUUGUAUUAAUAGCAACUAAAGCAACAGCCCUUGUUGAUGAACUACAAAGACAAACAGCAACUUAGUGUGUGUGUGUAUGUUGUUUUUCCCCCCUUUUGGGUUUAAUUGUGCAAAAGAGGCUGUGAUGAUGACAAUGUUUUACUUUGUGGGCUAACAAAAUCGGGCAUUGAGGAUAGUCCUACCCGUAUCUUGGCUUGGCAAAUCCCAGGAUGGCCUGCAAACUGAGGCUCACUCUUUUGCAUGCAACUGGUGAUUUUGCAGCCAUGGCGAGGUUGCCUUCUCUUUGUCCGAGACAAAAUGCAGCAUCUGAGCCUCAAAUUUCUUCUGUUCAUUUUGUAAGUGACCAGGAGAUCUUAAUUCCUCGUAUGUCUGCAUUUAAACCAAAAGCACUUUGCUUUUUCAGUGAAUAUUGUUGAUAUAUAGAUAUAUAGAUAGAGAUUAUGAGGCUAUGAUGAUAUUUUCUUCCCUUCUUUUUUUGACCAACUCAAUAGGACAAGGAAAUAAAGGGACUGUAUCUUGGCGGGGCAAUGCAGACGGCUAGUGAUUUUGUGUCAUGCCAAUGGUGUUUGCAGCCAUGAUCAUCACCUUCAUUCCCUUGUCUUAUCAACAUCUGAGCCUCAACUUACUUUUAGGGUGUCUUUGGUAUGAUGGAAAACAUUUUUCAUGAUGAAAGCAACACUCGAUUACCAUUAUAUCCCUAUGAGGAAAUAAAAGUUGUGAAAUUUCAGGUGAGAGCCAAGUGUUCCGAAAAGAAUUCACCCAGAAGGAGAAGUGAGGUUAAUAGAGAGAAGGGAUUUUCUUCUAAGGGUGGUUGCCCCUCUCCAUUGUGCCAAUGAUUUUCUGUAGCUACUAUACCAACAGCCCUUGUUCAUGGAAUAUAGGCAGCAGAAUAUAAUCCAUAUAUCUCAGCGAGUGUGUAUUCUUGGGGAAUUUACACUAGUGACGUUUCUUUGAGGUACUGAUGGUAACAAUGGCACUUUCUGGGUUAACAAGUGAAGCAUUGAAGAUAAUCCAGCCCGUAUCUUGGCCUGGCAAAUCCCAGGAUGGCGUGCAACUGAGGCUCUUUCUUUUGCAUGCAACCGGUGAUUUUGCAGCCAUGGCGUGGAGGCAAUGAUAUUCUCUUUAAGGGGUCGUUUGGUUAGGAAAGGAGUUGUUAAUGUUUGGAGGGAUUUCUGAAGGGUGGUUGCCCCUAUCUGUAACGCCAGUGUAUGAAAAGAAAAUGAAAAAAAUUCAAACAACCCCAUAAAUCUCAGGGAAAACUUAUCAACACCCUAUUGAGAUUUUUGAAUCAAAUGUUCCUUCAUGUUAUGGAGUUGAACCAAAUUCAUCUCACAAAGAGAAGAUAUAUAUGUAUAUAUAUAUAUAUAUAGAUUCUGAAGCUUCAAUGAUACUUGACAAGAGAAAUUAAGAGAUCUGUAUCUUGGCUGGGCGACCCGGAUGCAAUCCGAGGUUUGCUGCCAUGUCGAUGUCUUCAUUCUCUUGUUUUAUCAACAGAUCUGAGCUUCAAUUUUACUCUUGUAGCCUGUUUGGAUGGUUGUUACCUAUUGUGCUGUAUUGUUAUUCUACUAGGGUGUAUUUGGUACAAAAGGAAAUGUUUUUAUGAUGAAUGUCAUCCGUGUUUGGUUUCUAAUGUAGCCCUCUGAAAAGAAGAAAGCUGGGAAAUUUUAACGAGGAAUUUUCCUAAAGAAGGUUGGCCCAGGAAGAAAAAUGAGGUUAAUAGAGAGUAGGGACUUUUUGUUAAGGGUGGUUGCCCCUCUCUGUUGUGCCAAUGAUUUUCAUUUUAACAACUAUAGCAACAUCCCUUGUUAAUGAAAUACUCAGGGAAACAACAGCUAGAUCUCAGUCUGUUUGUGUUGCUUUCUCCCCCUUUAAAGUAAUUGUGCAAAAGAGGCUGUGAUGAUGACAAUGUUUCAUAUUUGGGCUAACAAAAUCGGGCAUCGAGGAUAAUCCUACCCGUAACUUGGCUUGGCAAAUCCCAGGAUUGUCUGCAACUGAGGCUCACUCUUUUGCAUGCAACUGGUGAUUUUGCAGCCAUGGCGUGGUUGUCUUCUCUUUGUCUGAGCAAAAAUGCUAAAUUCUGAGCCUCAAAUUUCUUGAAAUCAAACUGUGGAUCUCUUGUGCUUACAUUUAAGUUUGUUCCAAUUAGAAUGAUGUAUGUAUACUGGGUCAUUUGCAGUUUUUCCCUAAUUUUGUGUUUUUCUUCAAUUUAUGCCCUCUCGUAACCCAAAAAAAACAUUUUUCAGGAUAUAUAUAUAUGUGUGUGUAUAUAUAUAUAGAUAGAUAGAUAGAUAGAUGGAUGGAUAGAGAAUAUGAGGCUAUGAUGAUGUUCUUUUCCCUUCUUUUUGGGAGCAACUCGUUAGGACCAGAAAAUAAAGGGACUGUAUCUUGGCGGGGCAAUCCGGAUGACUAAUGAUUGUGUCAUGCAACCAGUGUUUGCAGCCAUGGCAUCGCCUUCAUUCUCUUGUCUUAUGAACAGAUCUGAGCGUCAACUUCACUCUUAAGGUGUCUUUGGUAUGAUGGAAUUUUUUUUCUAAAAAUUACACAAAUACACAACUUUUGUUUCCAAUAUUACGAAAAAUCCCAACUCCCUAAACAUAUUACAAAAAUCCCAACAUAUACACAGUAUGCUAUGUAUAUGUCGGCUAUGUUAUGUAUAUUAAUAGGGAGAGAGUAAAGUAAGUAAAAAAGUGGGAGAGUGUAAUUACUUCCAAAAGGGUUGGUAUUUAUGUUAUUUAUACAUUUUUUUUUCAUGAUGAAAUCAGCACUUGGUUACCAGCGGAUCCCUACGAGGAGAGAAAAGUGGUGAAAUUUUCAUCUGAGAGCCAAAUAUCCCUAAAAGAGAUAAAUGAGGUUAACGGAGAGAGGAUUUUCUUGUAAGGGUGGUUGCUCCUCUCCGUUGGGCCAAUGAUUUUCUGUAGCUACUAUACCAACAGCCCUUGUUCUUGCAAUAGAAGCAGAAGAUGAUCAAUCCAUAUAUAUCUGACGCGUGUGUAUUCUCGGGGAAUUUGCACUAAUGACCUUUUUUGAGCUGGCGAUGAUAAUAAUAGUACUUUCUGGGUUCACAAAAAUGGGGCAUUGAAGACAAUCCGACCUGUAUCUUGGCCUUGCAAAUUCCAGGAUGGCUUGCAACUGCAACUGAGGCUCGUUCUUUUGCAUGCAACCGGUGAUUUUGCAGCCAUGGCGUGGUGGCAUUCUCUUUUAGGGUGGUUGCCCCAAUCUGCAACUCUAGUGAUUUCUCAUAUGGAAGGAAAAUGAAAAAAACUAAAAUCAAACAAACCUUUAAAUCUCAGGGGAAAAUUAUCCGCACCCUGUUGAAAUUGUUGAAUCAAAUUGUCCUUUAUGUUAUGGAGUUGAACUAACUUGAUCUCAUGCAGAAAGUGAGCGAGCGAGAGAGAGAGAUUCUGAGGCUUCAGUGAUACUUGACCAGAGAAAUUAAGAGACCUGUAUCUUGGCAGGGCGACCCGGAACGCAACCCGAGGUUUGCAGCCAUGGCUGUGUCUUCAUUCUCUUGUUUCAUCAACUGAUCUAAGCUUCAUUGCUCUUUUUCAAUGGUUGUUACCUAAUGUAUUGUAGUGCUAUUAAGGGUGUCUUUGGUAUGAAGGGAAAUGCUUAGAGUAAAGCAACUAGUACCCCCCCUGAACUUGACCGAAUUUGCUGCGACACACUCCAACAUCACAAGGGUCCUAUUACCCCUUGAACUAAAUUUUAGCAUAUUUUUGUCAUUUUUUUAGCUGACGUGGCACCUUUUGUCAACCUAUUUAGCUGACGUAACACCUUUGACAUGGGCCCCAUUUUAUGUAAUAAAGGUGCCAUGUCAGCACAAAAGCACAAAAGGGUGAUAAAAAUACGCUAAAACUGAAUUCAGGGAGGUAAUAGGACCCCUGUGAAAACUGAUAUCUUUCCUAAAAUCCAACCUGUAUCUUGGCGGGGCGACCUGGUAGGGCAUCCAUCUGCAAACCGGUGUCCGCAGCCAUGGCUUGUGUUGCUUUCUCUUUCAUGCUGAUAUACUGCAGAAUCUGAGCCCCAAAAGUUUAACGGGUCUUCAAUGGAACUGGAAAACCCAAUAAUGCCCUUUUAGCAUAUGUAUGGUCUCUGUGUGUGUGUAUAUACUGCAUGUCUCUUUCUGUCUGUCUUACCUUUGCAGGGUAGAGAGGUUGUUUCCAGUAGACCCCCGGCUCAUGAAAAGUGCUCUUAUGUUUGUUAAAAUUUACUCUGAGUUGUCCAAAUGCCUACUUGUGGGAAUGUUCCCAUCUUUCACACGAGGCUAUGAUGAUAUUGCUAAUCUGGGCUGAUGUUUGGGCGUGGAGACAAUCUGACCCUUAUCUUGGCAUGGCAAAUCCGGAUUGUUUGUGAUUGAGUCUUCUCUUUCACAUGCUACCGGUUCCUUUGCAGCCAUGGCGUUGUCACAUUCUCUUUUCCCCAUUUGCUGCAGAUCUGAGCCUCGAUUUCCAACUAGUCCUUUCGGACAGUUCAGGAUACGAACCCAGGACCUGUGGUUUGGUGAACGCCAGCUGUUCACUUUUUCUUGAACACCUGAUGGUGUUCUCCGUCAAAUUUUAGGUAAAAAGAAUGAGUCAGUUGGAGCAAAAAUGGGAAGUUAUCUGGAUUUUCCGGGUGGUCGACCAUUUCCAUCACGCAUAUGAUUUCUAGUAUCUCUUAGCUCUAAGUAAUAUUAAGGACCUUUUUUGAUCAUUUUCUCUGUUUCUGCUACUGUCAUACUCGGUUCCUCAAUGGCUGUGUUUUCCUGGAACAGCAACAGCAAAAGCUUACAGCAAUGAAAUUGAAAAGGAUAAUAAUGUGGCUGUGAUGAUACUUUUAUUGAGCAAAUGAAAUCAGGUAUUGUUGAUUCAGGCCCGUACCCAUGCAGGGCGACCCAUGUUAUAGGGUUUGCAGCCAUGGUGGUUUCUAAUAACUCAAUGCCUCAGAUAAAUUAAAGAUCUGAGCCCAGAAGGAAGAAUGAAGCCAACCAAUAACCUUUUUUUUUCAUUGGUAUAUUUACACUUUGUUUGGAUGGUGGUUUCCCAUGCUAUGGUAUGGCGUGUUCAUAGUUCGGUUUGGUUUUGUAUCCUGACGGGAUGAGUAAUGGAAGCUCAGCCCUGUGUGAAUAAUGAGGCCAACAGGGAGAAAAAGGGAAUUUCUUUGGAGGGUGGUUGCCUCCGCUGAUUGGCCAAUGAUUUCUCCUUUAACCAUUCCAACAACCCUCUGCAAAACUGGAAACAAGAAACUGUUUGUUGCCCUCAGCUUCAAUGUUGGAGAUUUGAUGUUGAAGGUUAUCAUUUUAAGCUAAGGUCUUCUUUUUGUUUUAUUAAUUUUUCCUGCUAAAGUCGUUCAAACUGGCUCUACUGGAAAAGUUUCAGUCUUUUCUGAAAGAGGCAGUGAUGAUAUUGCUAAUAUGGGCUGAUGUUUGGGGGAUGGAGGCAAUCUAACCCAUAUCUUAGUAUGGCAAACCUGGAUGGCUUGUGCUUGAGUAUGGCAAACCUGGAUGGCUUGUGCUUGAGUCUUCUCUUUCACAUGCAACUGGUUCUUUUGCAGCCAUGGCGCUGUCGCCUUCUCUUUACCCCAUUUUUUGCAGAUCUGAGCCUCAAUAUCCAACUAAUCCAACUGGACGUCCCAGGACGUGAAGAAUAAUAUUACAAUACUGUUUGGUCUACAAGAUUCACUUCUAAGCCCCCAACCUGUAAAUUCAACUUCCAACAGUACCUAUGUUUUCUUUUGUUAAUUAAUUUUCUAAUGAUAGGACUGUGAUAAUUGAUUAUUAUUGAGAAUAUGGAAACUGGCACUGUUGUUUCAGACCUGUAUCUUGGCGGGGCAACCCGUAUUAUCGGGUUUGCAGCCGUGGCAGUGUCAGAGAACUCAUUGCCGGGGUUAAUCACUUAUCUGAGCCUCAAGUCUUUUUGAUAUGACUGAAUACAUUGACGGUCCCUCAAACUUGCUGAAAGUUUUCAUUUGGACAUCCAACUAAGGGUGGUUUGAACACGUAGAGCCAAACUGUGUCUAUUAGACACAUGUUGCUGAAAUUGUCCGAACAGGCUCUUAUGGAAAAAUUCCCAUUUUCAGAAGAGGCAGUGACGAUAUUGCUGACCUGUAGGUUGGCAUGGAAAACCAGGAUGGCUUGUUUGGUAUAUUUCUCCAUCAACCUCUGUUUUCAUUUCUUUCUUUGGUAUAUUUUGGGGUGUUCAUGGUUUGGUUUUGGUUUUGGUUUUGACCUAAAAAGAAGGCAAAUAUCUGUUGCCAUUGAUGUGAUGCUGAUAUCAAUGGUACUCCCUCCGUACAUUUUUUGUCUCGAAACUGUCCACAAAUGACAGUGAAGAAGUUUUCAUUAUCCGAGAGGCAGUGAUGAUAUUGCUAAGCUGGGCUGAUAUUUGAGGCAUGGAGAAAACCCGACUCGUAUCUUGGCGGGGUGAAAUUGAACCAUGCAAUUGGUUCGUUUUGCAGCCAUGGCGUUGUCGUCUUCUCUUUGCUGCAUUUUACGCAGAUCUGAGCCUCAACUUCCAACUGAUCUUUUUAUAGGGGUCCUAACAACGGUUGUGUACUUCUCCCACUUCACAGCGUUGAUAAAAUCCGAUCCGUAAUUUGGCGUGGCAACCUGGUAUGGCAUCGUUUGCAAACCGGUGUCUGCAGCCAUGGCGUGGUCACUUUCUUUUUGCAUGUUCAUAGAAAAGGAAAAUUUGAGCCCUAAAAGAUUUACGCAACCAUUUGAUGGUCUUGAAUUGGAUGGUCGUUCUCAGGAUGUGGAGAAUCCAAUUGGGUUCUACACUGUUUUCCUGAACACCCCAUUUUAGAUGCUGUUCUCCGUCACCUUUUUAGCUCAUAAAUGAGGCACUUGGAGAAAAAUGGGGAUUUUUCAAGGUGGUUGACCAUUUCCGACAUGCCAAUGAUUUCUUUUUUGCUCUAACCGACAGCCUCUUUUACAUAUGUAUGUGUUUGUAUAUACUUGUUUAGGUGUAUGCACCUCGCGCGUGUACCUCACUUUAUUGAGUUCAAACGCUAAACGAAAUAGAAUAUUUGUUUAAAUAACAAAGAUGAAUACAAUAAUUAAAUUCAACAUCUUUUGGAGAAUUUAUUUAAUUAAACCUAACCUUUACAAAAAAAAAUUCUUAAAGCCGAUCAACAUUCUUCUACCACCUGUAAACUGCAACAAAACAAUAAGAUGAUAGAGACAUCAAAACAAUAUAAUUAAAUCUAAUUUUUACACAAAAAAAUACUCAAAUCCAUCUGACACUCAUCUUUUGGUUUUGGUUUUGGUUGUUGUUUUGACCUAAAAGGAAGGCAAAUAUCUGUUGCCAUUGAUGUGAUGCUGAUAUCAAUAGUACUCCCUCUGUUCAUUUUGUGUCUCGAAACUGUCCACAAAUGGCAGUGAAGAAGUUUUCAUUAUCCGAGAGGCAGUGAUGAUAUUGCUAAUCUGGGCUGAUAUUUGAAGCAUGGAGAAAACCCGACCCGUAUCUUGGCAGGGUGAAAUUGAAUCAUGCAAUCGGUUCAUUUUGCAGCCAUGGCGUUGUCGUCUUCUCUUUGCUGCAUUUUACACAGAUCUGAGCCUCAACUUCUAACUGAUCUUUAUAUAGGGGUCCUAACAACGACUGACUGUGUACUUCCCCCCACUACACAGCGUUGAUAAAAUCUUUUCCGUAAUUUGGCGGGGCAACCUGGUAUGGCAUCAUUCGCAAACCAGUGUCUGCAGCCAUGGCGUGGUCACUUUCUCUUUGCAUGUUCAUAGAAAAGGAAAAUUUGAUCCCUAAAAGAUUUACGCAACCAUUUGAUGGUCUUGAAUUGGAUGGUUGUUCUCAGGACCUGGAAAACCCAAUUAGGUUCUUCACUUUUUUCCUGAACACCCCAUUUUAGAUGCUGUUCUCCAUCAACUUUUUAGCUCAAAAAUGAGGCAAUUAGAGAAAAUGGGGAUUUUUCAGGGUGGUUGACCAUCUCCGGCAUGCCAAUGAUUUCUUUUUGCUCUAAUCAACAGCCCUCUUUUACAUAUGUAUGUGUGUGUGUAUAUAUAUAUUGUAUGUCUGUGUCUGUCUAUAUCUACCUAUCACUACCCUGCUCCUGCAUCACUGCAUUUUCAGGCAAAUUAGCAUGGAAAGUAUUAGAGUUGUGACCCGAAUUUUGUUGUUCCGGGCCUGAAAGUUUUGCGGUGCGACCCAUGUUUGUGAUUUUCAAUGGGGUCAGUGGUGGUAGUGUAGAGAUCGGGCCAAUCUAAGACUUAUUUGUACGCACAUACUAUAUAACUGCGAUUUAGUGGGCUGUUUCGGGUCAUUCAGAAAAAUACACGAAAUUGAGACAUAGUCUCUUCAUUGUACUCUUCUCCAUUAUAGUGAAACUCCUCUGCCCGUGUUUUUUCCCGCAAGGGUUUCCAAGUAAAUCUGUGUGUUGUUGUUUUUCUUUCUGCUUGUGGUUUACUUUAUUCUGUUUGGUUUAUAACAGAAAGCAUAAAAUUGGGAGUAGUUUCUUAAAUGUAGACUUACGGGUCUCUUCGGUUAACUUUUCUCUUAUAAACAAGUGUGUUUUACUUCACAAGAUUUCCUUCUUUUUUUAAAAAAAAUUUUUUUGGUUAUUAUUGGCAUGUUAUAGAUGCUUCUGCUUCAGCUUAAACUAAGGCUCGGGUAUAUAUAUAUAUAUAUAUAUAUAUACACACACACACACACACACAUUUGAAACGAAAAAGAGACCGUACAGGUAACCUGCUGAGGAUGUCCAUAAAUAUUUAAGCAGAAACAGUAACAUAGAGGGUUUAGCAAAAUCCCUGCAGUUAAACCCGAAAAGGAAGAAUGAGACAUUAGAGGGAGGGGUUUUCUGAAAAGGGUGGUUGCCCCUCUCUGUUAUGUCCAUGAUUUUCCCAUUCGUAAAAGCAACAACCCUUUGAGAAAAGACAAAAGAGUAGAGGCAAAAUGUUAAUUGAUAAACCAUCUCAACAACACCAUUUGUGUAUUCCUCUGUUAAAAGGGCUACACUCUUCCUUUCUCUGCUUCUGCUGCGACCACUUAGAUACCUGGUGUCAUAUCUUCGUUGAUCGUUGCAGAUCACCUGGAAAUGGGCUGUGAUGAUGAUUGCUUCUUUCUGGCUAUCUAGUUUACUGCUUUGAGAAAAUCUGACCAUAUCUUGGUGGGGCGCCCCGGUAUGGCGUUGUCUUUAAACCGGUGUCUGCAGCCAUGGUGUGUCACUUUCUCUUUGCAUAUGAUCAUAUACAGCAAAGUCUGAGCUCUAACACUCACCACUCUUUAGCCCAGAAAGCAAGAAUUGAGACAUCAGAGAGAGAAAAAAAGGGGAUUUUCUGUAAAGGGUGGUUGCCUGAAUACGCCAUUUGGGUUCUGCACUUGUUUCCUGAAUACGCCAUUUCAGAUGCUCUUCUCCAUCAACUCUUAGCUCAAAAUGAGGCAAUUGGAGAAAAAUGGGAUUUUUCAGGGUGGUUGACCAUUUCAGGCAUGCCAAUGAUUUCUUCUUUGCUCUAAUCAACAGCCUCUUUUACACAUGUAUGUGUGUGUGUGUGUGUAUAUAUAUAUACAUAUAUAUAUUGUUUGUCUGUGUCUGUGUCUGUCUAAAUAUCUAUCACUACCCUGCUCUUGCAUGGCUGCAUUUUCAGGCAAAUUAGCAUUGAAAGCCUAAAAUUAGGAGGAUUAGUCUCUUAAAUGUAGACUUAAGGGGUCUCUUUGGUUAAAUCAGUGCGAUUUACUUCACAAGACUCCUUUUCUUUGUUUUGGUGGUUAUGGCAUGAUACAGAUGCUUCUGCUUCAGCUUAACAUAAGGCUCAGAGAUCAAUGUCUUCCAAAAACUUAGAACACAUUUGAAACGAAAAAGAGACCGCACCGGUAGCCUGCUGAGGAUGUCCAUAAUUAUUAAAUCAGAAACGGUAGUUUAGAGGGUUUGGCAAAAUCCUCGUAGUUAAGACGAGAUCGUUUUCGAAGGAACCUCGCUUAAAUGCAGUAAAUCAAAUUAGUUAUAAAAAUAAAUAAAAAAGGAGAACUAAUUAAAAAGCAUGACAUAGCAUUCAUAAAAUGUACAUGACAACAAAAAUAGUAUGAUAGACAAUUGAAACACAAUAUAAUCAUCUUUAACUUUAUUUUUAAAAGAGAAGUAUGUAGUACCCCUCUAAUUAUGACCAAAGUUGCUGCGAUACAUUCCAACUUCGCAGCGGUCCUAUUACUUCUGAAUUCAAUUUUAGCGUAUUUUUGUUAUCCUUUUGUGCUGACGUGGCAUAUUUAUUACAUAAAAAUGGGGUUCACGUCAAAGGUGUCACGCCAGUAUAAAGGUUAACAAAAAUAUGCUAAAAUUUAGUUGAGGGGUAAUAGGAGCCCCGUAAAAUUAGAGUGUCGUAGCAAAUUUGAUCAUAGUUUAGGGUACUAGAUGCUUUACUCCUUUUUAAAAUAUAACUGAUGGGUUGUUCCAUUUAAAUAGAUAAAUGGACUUUCCCCUCAUUCAACAAUAAUUGAAGUUAUCAUCCCAAUUCAUCAGAAGCCAAAACAUUUUUAUCUAUAUAAAAUUUAAUACCAUUUUAGUCACUCAGAUCAGGUAUGACAUAUUUCUAUUGAUUUUUAUCUUGAUUACUUGCUACUAUAUCUUUUUUCCAUAGACUCAUAUUUAUGUUUUUUCAUGUUCUAUAUUAUUGCAGUGAUCAGUUGCUUCUUCCCAUAUUUCUACCUUUGAAAGGUUAAUUUCCCUUAAUUACUCAGGUUUCUAAUUUAAUAACUAUUAGAUGAGUGACCGUUUAGAAAAUACAAAUAACUUGAAAUAAAUACCUUGUAUAAAUAGUUUCAAUUAUGGAAGGAUUUUUGUUAAGGGUGGUUGCCCCUCUCUGUUGUGCCUAUGAUUUUUUUUUUUUUAGCAACUAGAAGCAACAGCCCUUGUUUGUGAAAUACUCAGACAAACAACUUUUUAGUCUGUGUUGUAUUGUUAUUCUAAAAGGUUUCUUUGGUGUGAGGAAAAAUAUUUUCUUAUGAUGAAUUUCAUCAGUGUUUGGUUACUAAUGUAGCCCUCCGAAAAGAAGAAAGUUGGGAAAUUUUCUGAUUAAAACGGAGAACUUUCCUAAAGGAAGUUAGCCGAGGAAGAAAAAGGAGGUGAAUAGAGAGAAGGAUUUUUGUCAAGGGUGGUUGCCGCUCUCUGUUGUGCCAAUGAUUUUGUUUUUCGCAACUACAAGCAACAGCCCUUGUUAAUGAAAUACUCAGAGAAACAACUAUUCAGUCUGUAUGUUGUAUUAUUCAUGUAGAAGGAUGUGUUUGGUAUGAAGGAAAAUGCUCUUUCUUUUCUAUGAUGAUGAGUUUCAUCAGUGUUUGGUUACUAAUGUUGACCUUUGAUAAGAAGAAAGUUGAGAAAUUUUCUGGUGAAAACUUCAAGACUUUUCCUAAAAAAGUUAAGCCCAGAAAGAGAAAUGAGGUUAAUAGAGAGAAGGGAUUUUUCUCAGGGUGGUUGUCCCUCUCUAUGACACCGAUGAUCUUUCAUUUGGAAAAAAGGAAAAAAAUCAAACAGCCCUUGAGAAUUUAUAACCAAAUGGUCCUUUACGUUAUGGAGUUGAGCCAUAUUCAGCUCACAAGUCACAAAGAUAUAUAUAUAGAGAGAGAAAGAGAAUUUGGAGGCUGCAAUUAGUACUUGGCAAGGGAAUUCAAAGACCUGUAUCUUGGCGGGACGACCCGGAAUCCAACCGAGGUUAGCAGCCAUGGUGAUGUCUAUAUUCUCUUGUUUUAUCAACCGAUUCAAGCUUCAAUUUUACUCUUGUAGCUUGUCUUGUGUUGUGUUGUUAUCUUGAAAGGGUGUGUUUGGUAUGACGGAAAAUGUUUUCUUUUUUAUGAGGAGUUCCACUUCCAUUUGAGAAGAAGAAAGUUUAAUUUUCUGGUGAAACUAAUGGCCUGUUUGGACAUGAGAUAUGGUAUCAUGAGGUUAAUAGAGAGAAGGAUUUUUUGUUAAGGGUGGUUGCUCCUCUCUAUUAUGCCCAUGAUUGUCUUAAUAGAAACUAAAGCAACAACCCUUGUUGAUGAACUCCUCAGACAAACACCAACUUAGUGUGUGUGUGUAUGUUGUGUUUUCCUCCUUUGGGUUUAAUUGUGCAAAAGAGGCUGUGAUGAUGACGAUGUUUUACUUAGUGGGCUAACAAAAUCGGGCAUUGAGGAUAGUCCUACCCGUAUCUUGGCUUGGCAAAUCCCAGGAUGGCCUGCAAACUGAGGCUCACUCUUUUGCAUGCAACUGGUGAUUUUGCAGCCAUGGCGAGGUUGCUUUCUCUUUGUCCGAGCCAAAAUGCAGUAUCUGAGCCUCAAAUUUCUGCUGUUCAUUUUUUAAGUGACCAGGAGAGCUCAAUUCCUCAUAUGUCAGCAUUUAAACCAAAAGCACUUUGCUCUUUCAGUGAAUAUUGUUGAUAGAUAGAUAUAUAGAUAGAGAUUAUGAGGCUAUGAGGUGGAGUAGUUACAGCUCACUGAGGACAUGACCCUAGCUAGGAAGUUAUGGAGGUUGCGUAUUAGGAUAGAAGGCUAGUGUCAGUUUGGGUCGGUAGGGUAGGGCGUAGCUUGGUGGGUGUAUUAUUCUUGGUAUGCUACCUUGUUGCAUGCUAUAUUGCGAUGGUGUACUAUUCUUUGGUUGCUAUUCCUUGUUGGUGGUGUAUUUAUGUCUUAUCAUCUUGUUACGUGCUUUUUUGCGGAUUUGAUUAAUAUUCUUUGUCUUGAGCCGAGGGUCUAUCAGAAACAGCCUUGCUACUUCUCCGGAAGUAGUGGUAUGGACUGCGUCCACCUUACCCUCCCCAGACUCCACUAUGUGGGAAUACACUGGGUUUGUUGUUGUUGCUGUUGUCAUUUUUUGAGCAACUCAAUAGGUCAAGAAAAUAAAGGGACAGCAUCUUGGCGGGGCAAUGCGGACGGCUGGUAUUUUGUGUCAUGCCAACGGUGUUUGCAGCCAUGAUCAUCACCUUCAUUCUCUUGUCUUAUCAACAUUUUAGCCUCUACUUACUUUUAAGGUGUCUUCCACUAGUGACCUUUUUUUGAGGUACUAAUGAUAACAAUGGCACUUUCUGGGUUAACAAAUGGGACAAUCCAACCCGUAUCUUGGCCUGGCAAAUCCCAGGAUGGCCUGCAACUGAGGCUCUGUCUUUUGCAUGCAAUCAGUGAUUUUGCAGCCAUGGCGUGGUGGCAAUGAUAUUCUGUUUAAGGGGUCGUUUGGUUAGGAAAGGAGUCGUUAAUGUUAGGAGGGAUUUCUGAAGGGUGGUUGCCCCUAUCUGCAACUCCAGUGAUUUUUCAUAUGAAAAGAAAAUGAAAAAAAUUCAAACAACCCUAUAAAUCUCAGGGAAAACUUAUCAACACCCUAUUGAGAUUUUUGAAUCAAAUGGUCCUUCAUGAUAUGGAGUUGAAACAAAUUAGUCUCACAAAGAGAAGAGAGAUGGAUAGAUAGAGGCUUCAAUGAUACUUGACAAGAGAAAUUAAGAGACCCGUAUCUUGGCUGGGCGACCCGGACGCAAUCCGAGGUUUGCAGCCAUGGCGAUGUCUUCAUUCUCUUGUUUUAUCAACAGAUGAGAACUUCAAUUUUACUCUUGUAGCCUUUAUGGAUGGUUGUUACUUAUUGUGCUGUAUUGUUAUUCCACAAGGGUUUAUUUGGUACAAAAGGAAAUGCUUUUAUGAUGAAUUUCAUCCAUGUUUGGUUUCUAAUGUAGCCCUCUGAAAAGAAGAAAGUUGGGAAAUUUUAACGAGGAAUUUUCCUAAAGGAAGUUGUCCCCGGAAGAAAAAUGAGGUUAAUAGAGUGUAGGGACUUUUUGUUAAGGGUGGUUGCCCCUCUCUGUUGUGCCAAUGAUUUUCAUUUUAACAACUAUAGCAACAACCCUUGCUAAUGAAAUACUCAGGGAAACAACAGCUAGAUCUCAGUGUGUUUGUGUUGCUUUCUCCCCCUUUAAAGUAAUUGUGCAAAAGAGGCUGUGAUGAUGACAAUGUUUUACAUUCUGGGCUAACAAAAUCGGGCAUCGAGGAUAAUCCUACCCGUAACUAGGCUUGGCAAAUCCCAGGAUGGCCUGCAACUGAGGCUCACAUUUUUGCAUGCAACUGGUGAUUUUGCAGCCAUGGUGUGGUUGUCUUCUCUUUGUCUGAGCAAAAAUGCUAAAUUCCGAGCCUCAAAUUUCUGAAAAUCGAACUUGUGGACCUCGUGUGCUUACAUUUUUGCACUUUUGCCUUAUUUUGUGCUGGUCUUCAAUUUAUGCCUCUCGUAACCAAUAAAUAAAUAAAUAAAUAAAAUCCCAGGGCACGUUUAUAUUUUCUUACCAUAAUAUCGGACAAGUUUUGCUAACAUGACUUUUGUUUCCAAAGAACUUAUGCCCUACUAGGCAUACGUUCGAUUGCUAAAGGGCAAAAUAUGCAAUUUUAUGUUAUGCACUAUCACAAGAAAAUGGUUACUUUAUCUGCUUCUUAGAUAUAAGCCCAUGAUAUCAGGAAGAAUUUAACGGAAGAGACCCAGAAAGUUUGCAUUUAAAUGAAAAGCACUUUGCCUUUUCAGUGCAUGUUGGUGAUAUAUAGCUAUAGAUAUAGAUAGAUAGAUAGAUAGAGAAUAUGAGGCUAUGCUGAUAUUCUUUUCCCUUCUUUUUGGGAGCAACUCAACAGGACAAGAAAAUAAAGUGACUUGUAUCUUGGCGGGGCAAUCGGGAUGACUAAUUAUUGUGUCAUGCAACCAGUGUUUGCAGCCAUGGCAUCGCCUUCAUUCUCUUGUCUUAUGAACAGAUCUGAGCGUCAACUUUACUCUUAAGGUGUCUUUGGUACGAUGGAAUUUUUUUUUCUAAAAAUUACACAAAUACACCAAUGUUUCCAAUAUUACAAAAAUCCCAACUCCCUAUACAUAUUACAAAAAUCCCCACAUAUGCACAGAAUGCUAUGUAUAUGUCGGCUAUGUUAUAUGUCGGCUAUGUUAUGUAUAUUAAUAGCAAGAGAGAGUAGAGUAAUUUUAAAAGUGGGAGGGAGCGUAAUUACUUCCAAAAGGGUUGGCAUUUAUGUUAUUUAUACUUUUUUUUUCAUGAUGAAAUCAGCACUUAGUUACCAGUGGAUCCCUACGAGGAGAGAAAAGUGGUGAAGUUUUCAUCCGAGAGCCAAAUAUCCCUAAAAGAGAAGAAUGAGGUUAAUGGAGAGAAAGGAUUUUCUUCUAAGGGUGGUUGCUCCUCUCUGUCGUGCCAAUGAUUUUCUGUAGCUACAAUACCAACAACCCUUGUUCUUGCAAUAUUCCGAAGCAGAAGAUGAUCAAUCCAUAUAUAUGUGUAUUCUUGGGGAAUUUGCACUAAUGACCUUUUUUGAGCUAGCGAUGAUAAUAAUAGCACUUGCUGGGUUAACAAAAAUGGGGCAUUGAAGACAGUCCGACCCGUAUCUUGGCCUUGCAAAUUCCAGGAUGGCCUGCAACUGCAGCUGAGGCUCGUUCUUUUGCAUGCAACUGGUGAUUUUGCAGCCAUGGCGUGGUGGCAUUCUCUUUAAGGGUGGUUGCCCCUAUCUGCAACUCUAGUGAUUUCUCAUAUGGAAGGAAAAUGAAAAAAAUAAAUAAAUCAAACAACCCUUUAAAUCUCCGGGGAAAAUUAUUCGCACCCUGUUGAAAUUGCUGAAUCACAUUGUCCCUUAUGUUAUGGAUUUGAACUAACUUGAUCGCAUGAAGAAAGCGAGAGAGAGAGAGAGAGAGAGAUAGAUUCUGAGGCUUCAGUGAUACUUGACCAGAGAAAUUAAGAGACCUGUAUCUUGGCAGCGCGACCUGGAACGCAGCCCAAGGUUUGCAGCCAUGGCUGUGUCUUCAUUCUCUUGUUUUAUCAACUGAUCUGAGCUUCAUUGCUCAUUUUGGAUGGUUGUUACCUAAUGUAUCGCAGUGCUAUUAAGGGUGUCUUUGGUAAGAAGGGAAAUGCUUAGAGUAAAGCAUCUAGUGCCCCCUGAACUUGACCGAAUUUGCUACGACACACUCCAACUUCACGAGGGUCCUAUUACCCCCUUGAACUAAAUUUUAGCUUAUUUUUGUCAUUUUUUUUAAGCUGACGUGGCACCUUUUGUCAACCUAUUUAGCUGACGUUAACACCUUUGACAUGGCCCCAUUUUAUGUAAUAAAGGUGCCAUGUCAGAACAAAAGGGUGAUAAAAAUACGCCAAAACUGAAUUCAGGGAGGUAAUAGGACCCUGUGAAAACUGAUAUCUUUCCUAAAAUCCAACCUGUAUCUUGGCGGGGCAACCUGGUAGGGCAUCCAUCUGCAAACCGGUGUCCGCAGCCAUGGCUUGUGUUGCUUUCUCUUUCAUGUUGAUAUACUGCAGAAUCUGAGCCCCAAAAGUUUAACGGGUCUUCAAUGGAACUGGAAAACCCAAUAAUGCCCUCUUAGCAUAUGUAUGGUCUCUGUGUGUGUAUAUAUUGCAUGUCUCUUUCUGUCUCUCUUACCUUUGCAGGGUAGAGAGGUUGUUUCCAACAGACUCCUGGCUCAUGAAAAAGUGUUCUUAUGGUUUUUAAAAUUUGCUCCGAGUUGUCCAAACGCCUACUUGUGGGAAUGUUCCCAUCUUUCACAAGAGGCUAUGAUGAUAUUGCUAAUCUGGGCUGAUGUUUGGCGUGGAGACAAUCUGACCCGUAUCUUGGCAUGGCACACCCGGAUGGUUUGUGAUUGAGUCUUCUCUUUCACGUGCUACCGAUUCCUUUGCAGCCAUGGCAUUGUCACGUUCUCUUUCUCCCAUUUGCUGCAGAUCUGAGCCUCGAUUUCCAACUAGUCCUUCUGGACAGUUCAGGAUACGAACCCAGGACCUGUAGUUUGGUGAACACCAUUUUGGUUGUUCACUUUUUCUUGAACACCUGAUGGUGUUCUCCGUCAAAUUUUAGGUAAAAAGAAUGAGUCAGUUGGAGAAAAAAUGGGAAGUUAUCUGGAUUUUCCGGGUGGCUGACCAUUUCCAUCACGCCUAUGAUUUCUAGUAUCUUUUAGCUCUAAGUAAUGUUAAGGACCAUUUUUGAUCAUUUUCUCUUUGCAUCUGUUACUGUCAUACUCUCUUCCUCAGAGGCUAUGUUUUCCUGAAAAAGCAACAGCAAAAGCAUACAACAAUGAAAUUGAAAAGGAUAAUAACGGGGCUGUGAUGAUACUUUUACUGAGCAAAUGAAAUCGGGUAUCGUUGAUUCAGGCCCGUAACUUGGCAGGGCGACCCAAGUUAUAGGGUUUGCAACCAUGGCGGUUUCUAAUAACUCAAUGCCUCAGAUAAAUUAAAGAUCUGAGCCCAGAAGGAAGAAUGAAGUCAACCAAUAACCUUUUUUUUUUCAUUGGUAUAUUUACACUUUGUUUGGAUGGUGGUUUCCCAUGGUAUGGUAUGGGGUGUACAUAUUUCGGUUUAGUUUUGUAUCCUGACGGGGAAAAUCCGGAUGAGUAAUGGAAGCUCAGCCCAGUGUGAAUAAUGAGGCCAACAGGGAGAAAAAGGGAAUUUCUUUGGAGGGUGGUUGCCUCUGCUGAUUGGCUAAUGAUUUCUCCUUUAACCUCUCCAACAACCCUCUGCCAAACUGGAAACUAGAAACAAUGUUUGUUGCCAUCAGCUUCAAUGUUGGCUAUUUGAUGUUGAAGGUAGUAGUUCUAUUCAAUUUUCUGAUUAUUCUAAGCUAAGGUCUCAUUUUUUUUAAUUAAUUUUUCCUGUUAAAGUCGUACAAACGGCUCUACUGAAAAAGUUUCCAUGUUUUCCGAAAAAGGCAGUGAUGAUAUUGCUAAUAUGGGCUGCUGUUUGGGGAAGGGAGGCAAUCUGACCCGUAUCUUGGCAUGGCAAACCUGGAUGGCUUGUGCUUAAGUCUUCUCUUUCACAUGCAACUGGUUCUUUUGCAGCCAUGGAGCUGUCGCCUUCUCUUUGCCCCAUUUUUUGCAGAUCUGAGCCUCAAUAUCCAACUAAUCCAACUGGACGUCCCAGGACUUGAAAAAUAAUAUUACAGUACUGUUUGGUCUGCAAGAUUCACUUCCAAGCACCCAACCUGUAAAGUCAACUCCCAAUAGUACCUAUGUUUUCUUCUGUUAAUCAAUUUUCUAAUGAUAGGGCUGUGACGGUUGAUUGUUAUUGAGAAUAUGGAACCUGGCACUGAUGUUUCUGACCUGUAUCUUGGCGGGUCAACCCGUAUUAUUGGGUUUGCAGCCAUGGCAGUGUCAGAGAACUCAUUGCCGGGGUUAAUCACUUAUCCGAGCCUCAAGUUUUUUUGAUAUGACUGAAUACAUUGACGGUCCCUCAAACUUUCUGAAAGCUUUCAUUUGGACGUCCAACUAAGGGUGGUUUGAACACGUAGAGCCAAACUGUGUCUAUUAGACACACAUUGCUGAAAUUGUCCGAACAGGCUCUUAUGGAAAAGUUCCCAUUUUUUGGAAGAGGCAAUGAUGAUAUUGCUGACCGGUAGCUUGGCAAGGAUAACCAGGAUGGCUUGUUUGGUAUAUUUCUCCAUCAACCUCUGUUUUCAUUUCUUUUCUUUGGUAUAUUUUGGGGUGUUCAUGGUUUGGUUUUGGUUUUGGUUUUGGUUUUGUCCUAAAAAGAAGGCAAAUAUCUGUUGCCAUUGAUGUGAUGCUGAUAUCAAUAGUACUCCCUCCGUUCAUUUUUUGUCUCGAAACUGUCCACAAAUGCAGUGCAGAAGUUUUCAUUAUCCGAGAGGAAGUGAUGAUAUUGCUAAUCUGGGCUGAUAUUUGAGGCAUGGAGAAAACCCGACUCAUAUCUUGGCGGGGUGAAAUUGAAUCAUGCAAUUGGUUCAUUUUGCAGCCAUGGCGUUGUCGUCUUCUCUUUGCUGCAUUUUACACAGAUCUGAGCCUCAACUUCCAACUGAUCUUUAUAUAGGGGUCCUAACAAUGAUUGUGUACUUCUCCCACUUCACAGCGUUGAUAAAAUCCGAUCAGUAAUUUGUCAUGUCAACCUGGUAUGGCCCUCUCUGCUAUGUCCAUGAUUUUCCCAUUCGUAAAACUAACCCUUUUAGAAAAGACAAAAGAGUAGAGGCAAAUGAUAAUUGAUGAACCAUCUCAACAACACCGCCUGUGUAUUCCUCUGUAAAAAGGGCUACGCUCUUCCUUUCUCUGCUUCUGCUGUGACCACUUAGAUACCUGGUGUCUACGUUGAUCGUUGCAGAUCACCUGAAAAUAGGCUGUGAUGAUGAUUUCUUCUUUCUGGGCUGCUUUGAGAAAAUCUGACCAUAUCUUGGUGGGGCGACCUGGUAUGGUGUUGUCUUUAAACCGGUGUCUGCGGCCAUGGCAUGGUCACUUUCUUUUUGCAUGUUCUUAGAAAAGCAAAAUUUGGGCCCUAAAAGUUUUAUGCCAACCAUUUGAUGGUUUUGAAUUGGAUGGUCGUUCUCAGGACGUGGAAAAUCCAAUUGGGUUCUACACUAUUUUCCUGAAUACCCCAUUUUAGAUGCUGUUCUCCAUCAACUUUUUAGCUCAAAAAUGAGGCAAUUGGAGAAAAUGGGGAUAUUUCAGUGUGGUUGACCAUCUCUGGGAUGCCAAUGAUUUCUUUUUUGCUUUAAUCAACAGCCCUCUUUUACAUAUGUAUGUGUGUGUGUAUAUAUAUUGUAUGUCUGUGUCUGUCUAUAUCUACCUAUCACUACCCUGCUCCUGCAUCGCUGCAUUUUCAGGCAAAUUAGCAUUGAAAGUAUGAGAGUUGUGACCCGAAUUUUGUUGUUCCGGGCCUGAAAGUCUCACGGUGUGACCCAUGUUUGUGAUUUUCAAUGGGGUCAGUGGUGGGAGCGUAGGGAUCGGGCCGAUCUAGGACUUAUUUGUACGCACAUAUUAUAUUAGAGCGAUUUAGUGGGCUGUUUUGAGUCAUUCAGAAAAAUACAUGAAAUUGAGACAUAGUCUUCCCAUUGUACUCUUCUCCAUUAUAGUGAAAUCCUCUGCCUCUGCCCGUGGUUUUUCCCGCAAGGAUUUCAACGUAAAUCUGUGUGUUGUUGUUUUUCUUUCUGCUUGUGGUUUGCUUUAUUCUGUCCGAUUUAUAACAGAAAGCAUAAAAUUGGGAGGAGUAGUUUCUUAAAUGUAGACUUGGGGGUCUCUUCGGUUAACUUUUCUCUUAUAAAUCAGUGUGUUUUACUUCACAAGAUUUCCUUUUUUUUUUUUUUGAAAUUUUGAUUAUUAUUGGCAUGUUAUAGAUGCUUCUGCUUCAGCUUAAACUAAGGCUCAGAGAUUAAUGUCUUCCAAAAACUUAAAACACAUUUGAAACAAAAAAGAGACCGUACAGGUAACCUGCUGAGGAUGUCCGUAAUUAUUUAAGAAGAAACAGUAACAUAGAGGGUUUAGCAAAAUCCCUAUAGUUAAGCCCGGAAAGGAAGAAUGAGAUAUUAGAGGGAUGGGGUUUUCUGUAAAGGGUGGUUGCCCCUUUCUGCAUGUCCAUGAUUUUCCCAUUUGUAAAACCAACAACCCUUUGACAAAAGCAAAACAAGUAGGGGAAAAUGUCAGCUAAGUUGCUCGGACUCUCCUAAAUGUUGCCGCUCCCGUGUCGGAUUCUCCAAAAUGCACUACUUUUGAGGAUCCGACAGGCAGCCGAUGACAUUUUUGAAGAAUCCAAGCAACAUAGAUAAUUGAUAAACCAUCUCAACAACACCCCUCGAGUAUUCCUCUGUAAAAAGGGGCGGGCUACUCUCUUCCUUUCUCUGCUUCUUUUGCGACCACUUAGAUACCUGGUGUCAUAUCUAGUUUACUGCUUUGAGAAUUUUUUUUUUUUAUCUUGGUGGGGCGACCCGGUAUGGCGUUGUCUUUAAACCGGUGUCUGCAGCCAUGGUGUGUCACUUUCUCUUAGCAUGAUCAUAUACAGCAAAGUCUGAGCUAUAUAUAUAUUCUAUUACGACUGUUAGCUGGAAACACUCACCACUCUUUAGCCCAGAAAGCAAGAAUUGAGACAUCGGAGAGAGAGAAAAAAAGGGAUUUUCUGUAUAGGGUGGUUGCCCCUCUCAAUCUCUCAAUAUGUCCAUGACUUCUUCUCCAUUCAUAAAUUAUUUUUUUUAAAAAACAAAAUCAACAGCCCUUUGAAAAAGAAAAGCAUAAUCAAGAAGCAUGGAUGCAGAAAUUCCAUUUUUCUUAGAGUAAAGCAUCUAAGACCCACUAAACUAUGACCAAAUUUGCUACGACACACUCCAACUUCAUGGUGGUAUUAUCAACCCCCUGAAUUAAAUUUAACGUAAUUUUUGUCGGCCUUUUUAUCUGACUUGACACUUUUUGUCAACUUUUUUAGCUGACAUGACACCUUGACGUAGGCCCCAUUUUAUGUAAUAAAGGUGCCACGUCAGUAAAAAGGGUGAUAGUUCGAGUUUGUACUUGAUGCUUAUCUCUUUUUUUGUUUUUUUAUUCUAAAUUUAUAUACAUGUAUAUAUAAAGAUGGCUGUUUUUUCAAGACCCCACUAUGUGGGAAUAUACUGGGUUUUUUGUUGUUGUUUUUUCAAGAAUUAGCAAAAAUGGGCUGUGAUGAUGAUUUGUUUCUUUCUGGGCUAAUAAUCUUCUUCACUGCAUUGAGAAGAUCCGACCCGUAUCUUGGCGGGGCGACCCGAUAAGGUAUCCAUUUGCAAACUGGUGUCUUGCAGCCAUGGCGUGUGUUGGUUUGGUUUCUGUUCUGCAUGUUUGUAGCACAGAAAAAUCUGAGCCCUCAAAAGUUUUUACUGUAAAACCCAAUCUUGUGGCUAGCGGUGUUAGUUUAUUUUGCAUGCCAUACUACUUUAUAUGCACUUAUCUUUUGGGUUUGUUAUACUGUUAUCGUUCUAAGCCGGGGGUCUAUCGGACACAGCCUCUCUGCUUCAGUAAAGGGUGGUUGCCCCUCUCUGUUAUGUCCAUGAUUUUCCCAUUCGUAAAACUAACAACCCUUUGAGAAAAGACAAAAGAGUAGAGGCAAAUGAUAAUUGAUAAACCAUCUCAACAACACCGCUUGUGUAUUCCUCCGAAAAAAAGGCUAUGCUCUUCCUUUCUCUGCAUCUGCUGCGACCACUUAGAUACCUGGUGUCAUAUCUUCGUUGAUCAUCGCAGAUCACCUGAAAAUGGGCUGUGAUGAUGAUUGCUUCUUUCUGUGCUAUCUAGUUUACUGCUUGGAGAAAAUCUGACCCAUAUCUUGGUGGGGCGACCUGGUAUGGCGUUGUCUUUAAACCGGUGUCUGCAGCCAUGGUGUGUCGCUUUCUCUUUGCAUGAUCAUAUACAACAAAGUCUGAGCUCUAACUAUAUAUAUUCUUUUUCUUUUUUUUUUUUUCUUUGGUUUCCCAUCCGGUGUCUGGUACCCGCAUUGGAGCCCGACUAAUCUGGAUUCGCGCCGGGUAGGGCCCCAGUCGUGGGUAGCGCUCCCAACAGAGUUUUCUCCAUGCCCAGGGUCGAACCCUCGACCUCUGGUUAAGGGUGGAGCAGCCCCAUCCGCAGCACCACAACCCAUGUUGGUAACUAUAUAUAUAUUCUAUUACUACUGUUUACCUGGAAACACUCACCACUCUUUAGCCCAGAAAGCAAGAAUUGAAACAUCGAAGAGAGAGAAAAAAGGGGAUUUUCUGUAAAGGGUGGUUGCCCCUCUCAAUCUCUCAAUAUGUCCAUGAUUUCUUCUCCAUUCAUAAAUUCUUUUUUUUUUUUAAAAAAAACAAUAGCCCUUUGAAAAAGAAAAGCAUAAUCAACAAGCAUGCAUGCAGAAAUUCCAUUUUUUUUUAGAGAAAAGCAUCUAAGUACCCCAUGUACUGACCAAAUUUGCUAUGACACACUCCAACUUCACGGGGUCCUAUUACCCCUUUGUACUAAAUUUAACAUAUUUUUUGUCAACCUUUUUAGCUAAUGUGACACUUUUUGUCAACCUUUUUAGCUGACAUGACACCUUUGAUGUGGGCCCCAUUUUAUGUAAUACAGGUGCCAUGUCAGUGCAAAAGGGCGAUAGUUCGAGUUUGUACUGGAUGGUUAUCUCUUUUUUUUAUUAUAAAUCUAUAUACAUGUAUAUAUAAAGAUAGCUGUUUUUUCAAGAAUUCGGAAAAAUGGUCCGUCAUGAUGAUUUGUUUCUUUCUGGGCUAAUUAUCUACUUCACUGCAUUGAGAAGAUCCAACCCGUAUCUUGGCGGGGCGACCCGGUAAGGUAUCCAUUUGCAAACUGGUGUCUUGCAGCCUGUGUUGGUUUGGUUUCUCUUUUGCAUGUUUGUAGUACAGCAUAAUCUGAGCCCUCAAAAGUUAUUAAAAGAUGAUUAUAGACAAUAUCUGCAUAUACUUUGACUUUUCUCAGAGCUCAUUUAUGAAAUUAUUUAGAGAUAUACCUCAUUGAUAUAUUAAAGAAAGAACUUGGCCAAUUUUCUGUACCAAUCAAUUUUUUUUUUAUAUAUAUUAGCUGCCUGCAACUGAUACUUUGUGGACUAAUCAAUAAACAAAUAAUAAAUCCCCAGCUUAGGAGCCACGUAGUGGAGUAUUGUAGUGCUAUUUAGGGUGUCUUUGGUAUGAAGUGAAAUGCUUCAACUUCAUGGGGGUCCUAUUACCCCCCCAACUAAAUUUUGGCGUAUUUUGUCAUCCUUUUUAGCUAACAUGGCACCUUUGACAUGGGCCCUGUUGUAUGUAAUAAAGGUCCAACCUGUAUCUUGGCAGGGCAACCUGGUCGGGCAUCCAUCUGCAAACCGGUGUAUGCAGCCAUGGCUUGUGUUGCUUUCUCGUUCAUGUUGAUAUACUGCAGAAUCUGAGCCCCAAAAGUUUAAUGGGUCUUCAGUGGAACUGGAAAACCCAAUUAUUGUUUCUGUUUUCUUGAACACCAAAUUUCAGAUGCAGUCUUCAUCAAUUUUUAGCUCCAAAAAUGUGGUAAAUGGAGAAAAACGGGGAUUUUUCAGGGUGGUUGACCAUCUCUCAGUGAUUUUUGUUAGCUCUAAUAAUGCCCUCUUAGCAUAUGUAUGGUCUUUCUGCGUGUGUAAUAUUGCACGUCUCUUUCUGUCUCUCUUACAUUGCUGGGUAGAGAGGUAGUUUCAAGUAGACCCCCUGCUCAUGAAAUGUGCACUUAUGUUUGUUAAAAUUUACUCUGUUGUCCAAAUGCCUACUUGUGGGAAUGUUCCCAUCUUUCACACGAGGCUAUGAUGAUAUUGCUAAUCUGGGCUGAUGUUUGGGCGUGGAGACAAUCUGACCCUUAUCUUGGCAUGGCAAAUCCGGAUUGUUUGUGAUUGAGUCUUCUCUUUCACAUGCUACCGGUUCCUUUGCAGCCAUGGCGUUGUCACAUUCUCUUUUCCCCAUUUGCUGCAGAUCUGAGCCUCGAUUUCCAACUAGUCCUUCUGGACAGUUCAGGAUACUAACCCAGGACCUGUGGUUUGGUGAACACCAUUUAGGUUGUUCACUUUUUCUUGAACACCUGAUGGUGUUCUCCGCCAAAUUUUAGCUAAAAGAAUGAGGCAGUUGGACAAAAAAUGGGAAGUUAUCUGGAUUUUCCGGGUUGUUGACCAUUUUCAUCACGCCUAUGAUUUCUAGUAUCUUUUAGCUCUAAGUAAUGUUUAGGACCUUUUUGGAUCAUUCUCUCUUUGCUUCUGCUACUGUCACUCUCUUCCUCUGAAGCUAUGUUUUCCUGAAAAAGCAACAGCAAAAGCAUACAACAAUGAAAUUGAAAAGGAUAAUAACGAGGCUGUGAUGAUACUUUUACUGAGCAAAUGAAAUCAGGUAUUGUUGAUUCAGGCCCGUAUCUUGGCAGGGCGACCCAAGUUAUAGGGUUUGUAGCCAUGGCGGUUUCUAAUAACUCAAUGCCUCAUACAAAUUAAAUAUCUGAGCCCAAAAGGAAAAAUGAAGCCAACCAAUAAGCUUUUUUUUCAUUGGUAUAUUUACACUUUGUUUGGAAGGUGGUUUCCCUUGGUAUGGUAUGGUAUGGGGUGUACAUAGUUCGGUUUAGUUUUGUAUCCUGACAGGGAAAGUCCGGAUGAGUAAUGGAAGCUCAGCCCUGUGUGAAUAAUGAGGCCAACAGUGAGAAAAAAGGAAUUUCUUUGGAGGGUGGUUGUCUCCGCUGAUUGGCCAAUGAUUUCUCCUUUAAUCGUUCCAACAACCCUCUGCAAAACUGGAAACAAGAAACUGUUUAUUGCCCUCAGCUUCAAUGUUGGUGAUUGGAUGUUGAAGGUUAUCAUUUUAAGCUAAGGUCUUCUGUUUGUUUUAUUAAUUUUUCCUGUUGAAGUCAUUCAAACGGGCUCUAAGGGAAAAGUUUCCAUCUUUUCCGAAAGAAGCAGUGAUGGUAUUGCUAAUAUAGGCUGAUAUUUGGGGAAUGGAGGCAAUCUGACCCGUAUCUUGGCAUGGCAAACCUGGAUGGCUUGUGCUCGAGUCUUCUCUUAUACAUGCAACUGGUUCUUUUGCAGCCAUGGUGCUGUCGCCUUCUCUUUGCCCCAUUUUUUGCAGAUCUGAGCCUCAAUAUCCAACUAAUCCACCUGGACGGCCCAGGACUUGAAGAAUAAUAUUACAAUACUGUUUGGUCUGCAAGAUUCACUUCCAAGCACCCAACCUGUAAAGUCAACUCCCAACAGUACCUAUAUUUUCUUCCAUUAAUUAAUUUUCUAAUGAUAGGGCUUUGACGCUUGAUUGUUAUUGAGAAUAUGGAACCUGGCACUGUUGUUUCAGACCUGUAUCUUGGCGGGGCAACCCGUAUUAUCGGGUUUGCAGCCAUGGCAGUGUCAGAGAACUCAUUGCCGGGGUUAAUCACUUAUCUGAGCCUCAAGUCAUUUUGAUAGGACUGAAUACAUUGAUUGUCCCUCAAACUUGCUGAAAGCUUUCAUUUGGACAUCCAACUAAGGGUGGUUUGAACACGUAGAGCCAAACUGUGUCUAUUAGACACCCAUUGCUGAAAUUGUCCGAACAGGCUCUUAUGGAAAAGUUCCCAUUUUCGGAAGAGGCAGUGAUGAUAUUGCUGACCUGUAGGUUGGCAUGGAAAACCAGGAUGGCUUGUUUGGUAUAUUUCUCCAUCAACCUCUGUUUUCAUUUUUUUUUCUUUGGUAUAUUUUGGGGUGUUCAUGGUUUGGUUUUGGUUUUGGUUUUGUCCUAAAAAGAAGGCAAAUAUCUGUUGCCAUUGAUGUGAUGCUGACAUCAAUAGUACUCCCUCCAUUCAUUUUGUGUCUCGAAACUGUCCAAAAUGACAGUGAAGAAGUUUUCAGUAUCCGAGAGACAGUGACGAUGUUGCUAAUCUGGGCUGAUAUUUGAGGCAUGGAGAAAACCCGACUCGUAUCUUGGCAGGGUGAAAUUGAAUCAUGCAAUCGGUUCAUUUUGCAGCCAUGGCGUUGUCGUCUUCUCUUUGCUGCAUUUUACACAGAUCUGAGCCUCAACUUCCAACUGAUCUUUACAUAGGGGUCCUAACAACGACUGACUGUGUACUUCCCCCCACUACACAGCGUUGAUAAAAUCUUUUCCGUAAUUUGGCGGGGCAACCUGGUAUGGCAUCAUUUGCAAACCAGUGUCUGCAGCCAUGGCAUGGUCACUUUCUCUUUGCAUGUUCAUAGAAAAGGAAAAUUUGAGCCCUAAAAGAUUUGCACAACCAUUUGAUGGUCUUGAAUUGGAUGGUUGUUCUCAGGACCUGGAAAACCCAAUUGGGUUCUACACCUUUUUCCUGAACACCCCAUUUCAGAUGCUGUUUUCCAUCAACUUUUUAGCUCAAAAAUAAGGCAAUUGGAGAAAAAUCGGGAUUUUUCAGGGCGGUUGACCAUCUCCGGUAUGCCAAUGAUUUCUUUUUGCUCUAAUCAACAGCCCUCUUUUACAUAUGUAUGUGUGUGUGUAUAUAUAUAUUGUAUGUCUGUGUCCGUCUAUAUCUACCUAUCACUAUCCUGCUCCUGCAUCGCUGCAUUUUCAGGCAAAUUAGCAUUGAAAGCAUAAAAUUGGGAGGAAUAGUUUCUUAAAUGUAGACUUAGGGGUCUCCUUGGUUAACUUUUCUCUUACAAAUCAGUGUGUUUUACUUCACAAGAUUUCCUUCUUUUUUUUUUUUUUUUUAAAUUUUGGUUAUUAUUGGCAUGUUAUAGAUGCUUCUGCUUCCAGCUUAAACUAAGGCUCAGAGAUUAAUGUCUUCCGAAAACUUAAAACACAUUUGAAACAAAAAAGAGACCGUACAGGUAACCUGAUGAGGAUGUCCAUAAUUAUUUAAGCAGAAACAGUAACAUAGAGGGUUUAGCAAAAUCCCCGCAGUUAAGCCCGGAAAGGAAGAAUGAGACGAUAGAGGGAUGGGGUUUUCUGUAAAGGGUGGUUGCCCCUCUCUGCUAUGUCCAUGAUUUUCCAAUUCGUAAAACCAACAACCCUUUGAGAAAAGACAAAAGAGUAGAGGCAAAUGAUAAUUGAUGAACCAUCUCAACAACACCGCUUGUGUAUUCCUCUGUAAAAAGGGCUAUGCUCUUCCUUUCUCUGCUAAAGCUGCGACCACUUAGAUACCUGGUGUCAUAUCUUCGUUGAUCAUCGCAGAUCACCUGAAAAUAGGCUGUGAUGAUGAUUGCUGCUUUGAGAAAUUCUGACCAUAUCUUGGUGGGGCGACCUCGUAUGGCGUUAUCUUUAAACCGGUGUCUGCAGCCAUGGUGUGUCACUUUCUCUUUGCAUGAUCAUAUACAGCAAAGUCUGAGCUCUAACUAUAUAUGUAUAUAUGUAUUCUAUUACUACUGUUUAGCUGGAAACAGUCAACACUCUUUAGCCCAGAAAGCAAGAAUUGAGACAUCAUAGAGAGAGAGAAAAAGGGAUUUUCUGUAAAGGGUGGUUGCCCCUCUCAAUCUCUCAAUAUGUCCAUGAUUUCUUCUCCAUUUUUGUUUUUAAAAACAAAAUCAACAGCCCUUUGAAAACGAAAAGCAUAAUCAAGAAGCAUGGAUGCAGAAAUUCCAUUUUUUCUAGAGUAAAGCAUCUAAUACCCCCUGAACUAUGAUCGAAUUUGCUACGACACACUCCAACUUCACGGGGUCCCUAUUACCCCCGAACUAAAUUUAACAUAUUUUUUGUCGGCCUUUUUAGCGGACGUGACACUUUUUGUCAACCUUUUUAGCUGACAUGACACCUUUGACGUGGGCCCCAUUUUAUGUAAUAAAGGUUCCACAUCAGUGCAAAAAAGGGUGAUAGUUCGAGUUGGUACUGGAUGCCUAUCUCUUUUUUAUUAUAAAUCUAUAUACAUGUAUACCUAAAGAUGGCUGUUUUUUCAAGAAUUAAGGAAAAAUGGGCCGUGAUGAUGAUUUGUUUCUUUCUGGGCUAAUAAUCUACUUCACUGCAUUGAGAAGAUCCGACCCGUAUCUUGGUGGGGCGACCCGGUAAGGUAUCCAUUUGCAAACUGGUGUCUUGCAGCCAUGGCGUGUGCUGGUUUCUCUUUUGCAUGUUUGUAGUACAGCAAAAUCUGAGCCCUCAAAAAUUUUUACGGUAAAACCCAAUGUUGGGUUCUUGAAUUUUUUGUUGAACACCCAAUUUUCCAUCCUUUUUUAGCUUAAAGUAGAUGUAACUGGAGGAAAAAGAUUCGACUGUGUUGACAAAAUUCGACCCAUAUCUUUGCGGAGCGACCUGCUAACCGGUGUACAGCAGCCAUGGCAUGUGUUGGUUUCUUGGGAAGUGAGAUACCCAAGUUGGGUUCUUGAGUUUUUCUUGAACACUCCAUUUUACAUGCAGUUGCUCUAUCAAAUUUUCGCUAAAAAAAUGAGGUAAUCGGAGUAAAAAUGGGAUUUUUCUGGGUGGUCACUUUCUCUUUGCAAACGGGUGUCUGCAGCCAUGGUGUGGUCACUUUCUCUUUGCAUGUUCAUAGAAAAGGAAAGUUUGAUCCCUAAACGUUUUACGCCUACCAUUUGAUGGUCUUGAAUUGGAUGGUCAUUCUCAGGACCUGGAAAACCCAAUUGGGUUCUACACUUGUUUCCUGAACACGCCAUUUCAGAUGCUUUUCUCCCCCAACUCUUUUAGCUCAAAAAUGAGGCAAUUGGAGAAAAAUGGGAUUUUUCAGGGUGGUUGGCCAUCUCCGGCAUGCCAGUGAUUCUUUUUUGCUCUAAUCAACAGCCUCUUUUGCACAUGUAUAUGUGUGUGUGUGUAUAUAUAUAUAUAUUGUAUGUCUGUGUCUGUCUAAAUAUCUAUCUAUGACUACCCUGCUCCUGCAUGGCUGCAUUUUCAGGUAAAUUAGCAUUGAAAGCAUAAAAUUAGGAGGAUUAGUCUCUUAAAUGUAGACUUAAGGGGUCUCUUCGGUUAAGUUUUCUCUUAUAUAUCAGUGUGUUUUACUUCAGAAGACUCCAAAUUUUUUUUUUUUUUGGGGGAGAUUUUGGUCGUUAUGGCCUGACAUAGAUGCUUCUGCUUCAGCUUAAACUAAGGCUCCGAGAUCAAUGUCUUCCAAAAACUUAAAACACAUUUGAAACGAAAAAGAGACCGAACAGGUAACCUGCUGAGGAUGUCCAUAAUUAUUAAAUCAGAAACAGUAGUUUAGAGGGUUUGAAGGGUAGCCUUGGAGUAAAUGGUAAAGUUGCUGCCAUGUGAUAAGGAGGUCAUGGGUUCAAGCCUUGGAAACAACCUUUGGCAGAAAUGCAAGGUAAGAAUGCGUACAGUACACCCUUGUGGUGGGGCCCUUGGCCCUGCGCACAGUGGGGGCUUUAAUGCACCGGGUUGCCCUUUUUUGUAGUUUGGAGGGUUUAGCAAAAUCCUGGCAGUUAAGCCCAGAAAGGAAGAAUUAGACGUUAGAGAGAUGGGAUUUUCUGUAAUGGGUGGUUGCCCCUCUCUGUUAUGUCCAUGAUUUUCCCAUUCAUUAAACCAACACCCCUUGUGUAUUCCUCUGUAAAAAGGGGCUACGUUCUUCCUUUGCUUCUGUCGCGACCACAUGGUUACCUGGUGUCAUAUCUACGUUGGUCGUCGCAGAUCACCUGAAAAUGGGCUAUGAUGAUGAUUGCUUCGUUCUGGGCAUCUAGUUUACUGCUUUGAGAAAAUCUGACCCGUAUCUUGGUGGGGCAAUCCGGUAUGGCGUUGUCUGUAAACCGGUGUCUGCAGCCAUGUUGUGGCACUUUCUCUUUGCAUGAUCAUAUACAGCAAUGUCUGAGCUCUAAAGAAGUCUUCUGCACAACAAUGAGAAUUUUCCCGGGGGAAUGAGUGUGUGUUUUACUUCACAAAAUGGAUGUUCAGCUCAGCAUGAAGAAUGAGGCCAACAGUAAGAAGAGGGAAUUCUUGUGAGGGUGGUUGCCCCCUCUGCUUGGUCUAUGAUUUUUCCAUCAACCAAACCAACAACCCUCUUCAAACGUACCACUACUAGUUUUUUAUUUCAAGGAGCUAAAACCAAACAUCCUAUGAUUUUAACGUUUAUUAAUCAAAAGUUGUGUGGAAUUGUCCAGAGUCUACUGUGAAAAAGUUUUCAUUUUUCAAAAUAGGCAGUGAUGAUCUUGCUAAUACUGGCUGAUAUUCAGGGGCAUGGAGACCAUCCGACCCAUUUUCUUGGCAGGGCAAACGUGGAUGGUUUGUGAUCGAGACCUCCUCUGUCACAUGCAACUGGUUCUUUUGCAGCACUGGUGGUGUUCCCUUCUCUUUGCCCCAUUUUCUUGCAGGUCUGAGCCUCAAUCUCGAGCUAGUUUUUCUGGACUUUCUGAAUUCUGAACCUAAGGUCUUCACGAGUGGAAACCCAUGUUAUUUUUGAAAAUUCCAUGUUGUUGUUGCAUCUUCUUCCUUUUCUUUUGUUCAUGAUGGUGAUUUAUUGUGUUAUCAACCAAAUAGUAAGAUAUCACUGUAAGAACAGGGAGAAUUUAUGGCUGUGAUGAUGAUACUUUUUUUGAGCAAUAUGAAUUGCGCGUUGAGAUGUUAAGAGCCGUAUUCUUGGCUGGGUAACCUGAAGAGGUAGCAGCCAUGGUGGUUUCUGGUGGAUUCGAUGCUUGAUUAAAUUGACAUCUGAGCCUCCUUUUGUACAUGAUGCAGAUGUAUAUUGUCUGUAUCUUACACACACAAACAUACAUACAGACAUACAUAUCAUGAGAGAAUGUCCAAAAUAGUCUCUUAUGUAGGCGGUGAUGAUCUUUCAGUACGGACUCUAUCUUGGAGGGGCAAUGACCAGGUUGCAUGUGAUAUUGUUGCAUGCAACUAGAGGUAUUUGCAGCCAUGCCGUUGCUGGACUUUCUUUGCCUGAGCAUAAAUACAGGUCUGAGCCUCAAUUGUCCCUAAGAUUUUUCUGUGUAUCGCAAUGGAGGAAACUAUUGCAGUGACUAGAUGAACCUGAAGGUGAAUCGAAAAAUGGCAAACAUCUCAUUAGUUUUAUACACACACACAUAUAUAUAAGAGAGAGAGAGUCUAUUACUGCUGUUUAGCUGGAAACACUCACCACUCUAUAGCCCAGAAAGCAAGAAUUGAGACAUCAGAGAGAAAAAAUAAGGGAUUUUCUGUAAAGGGUGGUUUCCCCUCUCAAUCUCUCAAUAUGUCCAUGAUGUCUUCUCCAUUCAUAAAAUUAAAAAAGAAAAAAAAACAACAGCCCUUUGAAAAAAAAAAAAAAGCAAAAUCAAGAUCCAUGCAUGCAGAAAUGCGAUAUAUGUAUAUGUAUGUAUGUAUAUAUAAAGAUGUUUUUUCAAGAAUUAGGAAAAAUGGGCUGUGAUGAUGAUUUGUUUCUUUCUGGGCGAAUAAUCUACUCCACUGCAUUGAGAAGAACCGACCCGUAUCUUGGCGGGGCGACCCGGUAAGGUAUCCAUUUGCAAACUGGUUUCUUGCAGCCAUGGCGUGUGUUGGUUUGGUUUCUCUUUUGCAUGUUUGUAGUACAGCAAAAUCUGAGCCCUCAAAAGUUUUUACUGAAACCCAAUUUGGGGUACUUGAAUCUUUUGUUGAACACCCAAUUUUCCAUCCAUUUUUAGCUUCAAGUUGAUGUAAUUGGAGGAAAAAGAGGACUUUUUGGCUCAAAGUUAGGUAAUUGGAGAAAAAAGAGGAUCUUUUAGCUGCAUUUUAAAGAUUUUGGAACCUAAAUAAGGUAUUUUUAUUGAUGUUGCAACAACAGCAAUAACAACAAACCCAGUGUUUUCCCACGAAGUGGGGUCUGGGGAGGAUAAGAUAUACGCAAUCCAUACCGCUACCACCGAAGAAGUAGAGAGGCUGUUUCUGAUAGACCCCCGGCUCAAGAUAAAGACUAAUAAACAAGGAGGAUGGCUGACACAACAGAAAAAACAAGAAUAAGAAAUCAUAGAAAUGAAACCAGAGAAAAAACGAAAAUAUGAGAAAUAAAGGCAACACUAACUAAGAAAUAAGAAAUAGGCCCCCACCUAGUAAUAACAUACCCUCACAUACCAACAACACCUACGUACACAGUCCUAGGGUUACGAACCCGGCUACACAAGAUCUCUACAACCCACACACUCGCACUAGCCUUCUACCCUUACCCUUAUCCCCGACCUCCACACCUUCCUAUCUAGGGUCAUGUCCUCAGUAAGCUGAAGCUGCUCCAUGUCAUGCCUAAUCACCUCCCUCCAGUAUUUUUAUUUUUAUUGAUGUUGAUUGAUCUAAAAAAAUGCGCUCUGAUGAAGAUUUACUUCUUUCUGGGUUAGUAAUCUACUUCACUGUGUUGACAAGAUCUGACCUGUAUCUUGGCGGGGCGACCCGGCAACUGGUGUAUUGCAGCCAUGGUGUGUGUUGGUUUCUUGGGAAGUGAGACACCCAAGUUGGGUUCUUGAGUUUCUCUUGAAGACUCCAUUUUAGCUGCAGUUGCUCUAUCAAACUUUAGCUAAAAAAUGAGGUAAUCGGAGUAAAAAAAGGGAUUUUCCCGGGUGGUUGACCAUCUCUGCACGUCAGUGAUUUUAUCUUAGCUGUAAUCAACUGCCUUUUUAGCCUAUGUAUGAGAUCUAGACUUCUCUACUGUGUCAGCUGAUCACUCCACUUACAAAAUAAUCAUAUAGACAGCAUGUCAAAAAUUGAUGUGCCACGUAAGUGUUGGGUCUCCACUAUACACUGGGUGUGAGUUUGGAGUGUUUAGUUGUCAGUUUAGACCUAGUUGAGGUGUCUAGAUGCACACUCUUCAAAGUUUGGAGUGCUUACUUGUCAGCCGAGGCCAAGUUGAAGCCAUGUUUGUGGGUCUGUUUAUGUAUUAUACCAUAUAUAUGCGUGAAUUGUAAUUCUGUUUUUAUGUCUCUAUCUGUGAUUACUUUGCUGCUUUGUGGCUGCAUUUUCCGAUAAAGCAGCAGCAAGAACAUAGAAAAGGGACAGUUAAGCAGACUUACAGGUCUCUGGUUAAAUUAUCUUUUAUCAAUCAGAGCGUACUACAGAAAAAUGGAGGUUCAGCCCACUAUUAAGAGUGAGGCCAACAGUGAGAGAAGGGAAUUCUUGGAGGGUGGUUCACCUACUCUUAUAUCAAACAUCCCUCUUAGCUAAUGUUUUUGGGAUUUCACUGUGUUGGUUGUUGUUGCUGUUGUUUGUUGAAAGCUACUCGAAAUUGUCUAAACGCCUGCUUGUGGGCAAGUUUCCAUCUUUCCAAUGAGGCUGUGAUGAUGAUUCUUAUGGCAGAAUCCUGACCGUAGUUCGGUGCAGAAAGGAAAAAUGAGACAUCAGAGAGAUGGGAUUUUCUGUAAAGGGUGGUUUUCCCCUUGCUGCCAUGUCCAUGAUUUCUUCUCCAUUCAUAAAAAAACAACAGCUCUUUGAGAAAAGGAAAAUAUCAAGAAUUAUUUUGACGUUUGGCCAGAGAAUUCCAGAUAUUUUUAUAUGUUUCUUCCUUUUACUGCUUGUGCUUCUUUAAAGUGGCUGCUUUUUCAAGAGUUUGGAACCUAAAUUAUGUUUAUUGAUGUGAAAAAAUGGGCUGUGAUGAUGAUUUGCUUCUUUCUGGGCUAUAAUCUACUUCACUGCGUUGAGAAGACCCGACCCGUAUCUUGGCGGGGCUACCUGUGCAUCAUCUGCAAACCGGUGUCUUGCAGCCAUGGCGUGUGUUGAUUUCUCUUUGCAUGUUUGUAGAACAGCAAAAUCUGAGCCCUAAAAGUUUUACUAUAGCCACCUAUCUGGGUUCUUCAGUUUUUGUUGAACACCCUAUUUUUCUGAUGCAGUUCUCCACCAAUUUUUAGCUCAAAGUUGAGGUGAUCAGAGAAGAAAGAGGAUUUUUCUGGGUGGUUGACCAUCUCUGGUAUGCCUAUGAUUUCUUUUUUGCUCUAAUCAACAGCCCUUUAGCGCCAACAAACGCAAAAACCGUAUAUGAUCUUCCUUUUUCUGCUUAUGCUUCAGCAAUGUUCAAAUGACGCAACAAGAUAGAUUUGCUCAAGAGUCUGGAACCUUAAUGAUGUGAAAAAAAUGGCUAUGAUGAUGAUUUGCUUCUUUCUUGGCUAUAAUCUACUAAACUGCAUUGAGAAAAUCCGACCCGGAUCUUGGCGAGGCGACCUGGUAAGGCAUUCAUUUGCUAACCAAUGUAUCUGCAGCCUUGGCUAUGUCGAUUUCUCUUUGCAUUUAUGUAGCACAGCAAAAUCUGAGCCCCAAAGUAUAUAUAUAAAUAAUUUGACGGUUGUUCUCAUGAUUUGCAAACUUUAAACUUCCGCAUGACGCCCUCUCGAUUUCGAACCCAACAGAAUAAAAUGGAGGUCAAAGUGCGACCAAAGUAAUAUGCAUCUUCAUGUGUAUGUCAUUGUUGCCGUCUUCGGCUGCUUCUUAUUUGCUAAUUCCGCUGCCACCUGUCAGCAUGGAGGCUCUGAUGAGAAAUAUUUAAGUUAGGCUAUGGAUCUAAUAAAGCUGUAUCUUGGCUUGGCAAUCCAGAUUUUACUGAAAUUGCAGCCAUGACAGUGAUUUCCUUCUUUCUCUGAGCAUGUGUAUCGGAAAAGAAAACAAAUACACGUGUAUCUUGGUGGGGCAACUCAGUGGCAAGUGAGUUUUGUGUCAUGCAACUGGUGUUUCCUCAGCAGAACUGAGCCUCAAAUUCUCUCUUGGGUCAUACAUGGCGUAAUGGUAGCACGUCUAACUCCAGAUCAGAAGGUUGUGCUGUGUGUUCGGUUGACCAGUUACUGUGUCUUUGUAUGAUUGAAAAUACUUUUUCUGGAAAUCAGUAUUUAGUUAUCAAUGAGGAUAACAAGUGAAGGGAUAAGAUCCUGAAAAUGGGCUGUGAUGCUGAUUGCUUCUUUCUGAACUAUCUACUUUACUGUGUAGAGAAAUCUUACCCGUAUCUUGUGGGGCGACCUGGUAUAGCAUUCAUUUGCAAACCGUGUCUGCAGCCAUGACAUGGUUGGUUUCUUUCUCUUUCAUGUUCAUAGAAAAGCAAAAUCUGAGCCUUAAAUUUUCCAAGGAUGAUAAACAUGCCUCCUCAUUCUCUAAGGAUGAUAAAUCCGCAUUAAUAGCUUCACGAAUUUCAGACAUAUGACUAAAAAAGCUAUGGAGGAGAAGGAGGCCAGUGUUCAAUUAGAAAAUUAAUUAACAAAAGAAAACAUAGGUACUGUUGGGAGUUGACUUUACAGGUUGGGUGAUUGGAAGUGAAUCUUGCUGAUCAAACAGUAUUUUAAAGGGUCUCUGGUUGAAUUAUUGAAUCAUCUUUUAUUAAUCAGAGUGUUCUACAGAAAAAACGGAGGUUCAGCCCACUAUUAAGAAUGAGGCCAACAGAGAGAAAAGGGAAUUCUUGGAGGGUUGUUGCCCCCUCUGUUUGGCCUAUGAUUUCCCCAUAAACAAAAUGGACAACCCUCUUCAGACGUACUACUGCUGUUUCUGUUUUCAUUACUCUUAGACCAAACAUCCCUCUUAGCUUAUGUUUGUGGGAUGUCACUGGGUGGUUGUUGUUGUUGUUUGUUGAAAGUUACUCGAAAUUGUCCAAACGCCUACUUGUGCAGAAGUUUCCAUCUGUCAAAUGAGGCUGUGAUGAUGAUACUUUUGGCAGAAUCCUCACAUAGUUUGGCACAGAAAGGAAGAAUGAGACAUCAGAGAGAUGGAUUUUCUGUAAAGGGUGGUUGCUCCUCUCUGUCAUGUCCAUGGUUUCUUCACUAUUCAUAAAAACCAACAGCCCUUUGAGAAAAAAGGAAAAUACCAAUAAUUAUGUCGACGUUUACCAUAGAAUUCCAAAUAUUUUUAUAUGCUUCUUCCCUUUCUGCCUGUGCAUCUGCAAGGUAGAAAUGACACAAGGUCGCUGCUUUUUCAAGAGUUUGAAACCUAAAUGAGUUGUUUUAAUGGUCUAAAAAAAUGGGCUGUGAUGAAGAUUUGCUUCUUUCUGGACUAUAAUCUACUUCACUGCGUUGAGAAAACAUGACCUGUAUCUUGGCGAGGCAACCCGGUAGGGCAUCCAUCUGCAAUCUGGUGUCUGCAGCGAUGGCAUGUGUUGCUUUCUCUUUGCAUGAUUGUAGAACAGCAAAAUCUGAGCCCUAAAAGUUUCAGUAUGAUACCCUAUUGGGUUUUUCCGUUUUUGUUCAACACUCAAUUUUUCCAGCAGUUGUUAGCUCAAAGUUGAGGUAAUCGGAGAAAAAAGAGGAUUUUUCAGGGUGGUUGACCAUCUCCCGCAUGCCUAUGACUUCUUUUUUGCUCUAAUCAACAACCCUUUAGCUCAAAAAGGAAAAUGUCUAUAUGCUCUUCCUUUUUCUGCUUCUGUAUACUACGGCAACUGAUUUUCGCAAAUAUCCACUUUUCUGUCCCUCUAAAUACAAAGGUAGGGAGCUGCUUUUUAAAUAAUAGUUAGCGUAAUUUAGGAUCUAUUGAUGUUGAUUGAUCUGAAGAAAGGGGGCUCAUUUUGACCAUCAGAUUUGAGGGGAAAAUUAAAAAACACACCUAAUAGGGGCAAUCCGUGCAAAAACUUGAAAAAGUGGGAUCUGAUUGUGGUUUGCUUCUUUCUGGGCUAUAAUCUACUUUAUUGCGUUGGGAAAACCCAACACGUAUCUUGGCGUGGCGACACGGUAUGGCAUCCAUAUGCAAAUCAGUGUCUUGCAGCCAUGGCGUGUGUUGCUUUCACUUUGCAUAUUCAUAUACAACAAAAUCUGAGGCCUGAAAGUUUUGGCUCAAAAAUGAAGCCAUCGGAGAAAAAAAUGGAAUUUUUCUGGGUGGUUGAACAUCUCCGGUAUGCCUAUGAUUCUUUCUUAGCUCUAACCAACUGCCUUUUAGCAUUAAUCUCUUUCUGUUUAUCUGUGAUUACUUUGCUCCCGCAUGCCUGCUUUUCAGGCAAAGCAGCAGCAAAAGCAUAGAAAAUGAGGUUCAGAACAGUAUGAAGAAUGAAAAAGGGCCAAAUAUACCCCUCUACUAUAAAGAAUGAGGCCAACAGAAGAGAAGGGAAUUCUUGGAGGGUGGUUGCCCCCUCAGAUUGGCCUGUGGUUUCUCCUGCAACCAAACCAACAAUCCUCUUCAGAUGUACUAGUACUGUAUUCUUGAACUUCUGAGGUUAGCAAACAUACUUUGAUCUUAUAUAGCAAUUGUUAAAAAUUGCUUGAAAUUGUCCAAACGCCUACUUGAGGUGAAGUUCCUAUCUUUCAAAAGUGGCUGUGAUGAUAAUUUAGCCAUCAGACAGAUGGGAGAAUCCUCGCCAUAGUUUAGCUCAAAAAGGAAGAAUGAGACAUUAGAGAGAUAGAUUUUCUGUAAAGGGUGGUUGCCCCCUCUCUUCCACGUCCAUGAUUUCUUCUCAAUUCAUAAAAAAAACAACAGCCCUUUCAGAAGAAAAAAGAACAACAUUCUUGAUUUUCGUGUGUGUAUGUAUGUAUAUGUAGAUAUAUAUUUCCAUGUCCAAACACCUACUACAGCUGAUUUUCUCAAAUAGUUACUUUUACGUCCCUGUAAAAUAGAAGGUAGAAAUGACACUACAAGAUAGCGGCUUUUAAUGGAUCAAUUCUUGGAGGGUGGUUGCCCCUCUGAUUGGCCUGUGAUUUCUCCUGCAACCAAACCAACAACCUCUUCAGAUGUACUAGUACUGUAUUCUUGAUCUUCUGAGGUUAGCAAACAUACUUUGAUCGUAUAUAGCAAUUGUUAAAAAUUGCUUGAAAUUGUCCAAACGCCUACUUGAGGUGAAGUUCCUAUCUUUCAAAAGUGGCUCUGAUGAUAAUUUAGCCAUCAAACAGAUGGGAGAAUCCACACCAUAGUUUAGCUCAGAAAGGAAGAAUGAGACAUUAGAGAGAUGGAUUUUCUGUAAAGGGUGGUUGCCCCUCUCUUCCAUGUCCAUGAUUUCAUCUCGAUUCAGGAAAAACCAACAGCCCUUUCAGAAGAGAAAAGAACAACGUUAUUGUUUUGGUGUCUCUGUGUUUGUGUGUGUGUGUAUAUGUAGAUAUAUAUUUCCAUGUCCAAAUGCCUACUACAGCUGAUUUUCUCAAAUAGUUACUUUUAUGUCCCUGUAAAAGGUAGAAAUGACACAACAAAUUAGCGGCUUUUAAUGGAUCAUUUAUAAGAAUGUUGAUUGAUCUGAAAAAAUGGGCUAUGAUGAUGAUUUGCUUCUUUUUGGGCUAUAUCUACUCCACUGCAUUGAGAAGAUCCGACCCGUAUCUUGGCGGUGCAACCAGGUAUGGCAUCAUCUGCAACUGUUAUCUGCAGCCAUGGCGAGGUCGGUUUGUCUUUGCAUGUUUGUAGAACAGCAAAAUCUGAGCCCUGAAGUGUACGCCAACCAUUUGAUGGUCAGUUCUCAGGAACUGAAAUACUCAAUUAUGUUGUUUAUUUUCUUGAAAACCUCAUUUCAGAUGCAUUACUAUAUCAAAUUUUAGCUCAAAAAUGAAGUAAUUGAAGUAAAAAGGGAUAUUUCAGGGUGGUUGACCAUCUCCGGUAUGCCACUGAUUUUAUCUUUAGCUCUAAUCAACAGCCUUUUUAUCAUAUGUAUGAAGUCUGUAUGUAUAUGUAUGUGUAUUGUAUGUAUGUGUCUCUCUAUCUGUGACUACUUCGGUCCUGUUUGGCUGCAUUUUCAGAUGAAGCAGCAGCAGAAGCAUAGAAAAGAGACAGUAAAACAAACUUACAGGGUCUCUGUUUAAAGUAUCUCUUAAUAAAUCAGAGUGUUCUACAGAAAAAUGGAGGUUCAGCCCACUAUUAAGAAUGAGGCUGGCAGAGAGAAGGGAAUUCUUUGAGGGUGGUUGCCCGCUCUAUUUAACCUAUGAUUUCCCCAUAAACCAAAUCAACAACCCUCUUCAGAUGUACUGGUUCUAGUACUGUUUCUUGUUUUCUCUACGCGUCGCUCUAAUUUUCGCUUUAUGUUUGUUAAAAAUUGCUCAAAAUUGUCCAAGCGCCUGCUUAUGGGAAAGUUUCCAUCUUUCAAAAGAGGCUGUGAUGAUAAUGCUUAUGGCAGAACCUUCGUCAUAUUAUAUUCUAGGAAGUGAGAAAUGAGACAUCAGAGAGAUCGGAUUUUCUGUAAAGGGUGGUUGGCCCUCUCUGCCAUGUCCAUGAUUUCUUUUCCAUUAAUGAAAACCAACCGCCCUUUGAGAAAAAAACAGACAAGAAAAUGAUUAAUGGAUUAUAUAUGCUUCUUCCUUUCUCGUUUUCUGCUUCUGCAACUACUACAGCUGAUCUUUGCAAACAGCACUUUCAUGUCCCUGUAUGUAUAAACAACAAAAACAACAACAUAUUCGGUGAAUAACCACCUGGGGUCUGAGGAGGGUAGGAUAUACACAAACCUUAACCCCCCCUCCCCCCCCCCCCCCCCCCCCCCCCCUCUUUUGUGGAAUAGAGGCUGUUUUUGGUAGUCCCUUGGCUCAAAAAGAAUGUUAUUGGAGCAGGAUUGCAAGAAAAACAUAACAACCAAAUAGCAAAAUGGGUGAUUUAUGUACAAGGUAGAAAGGAAACAACUAGGUACCGCUUUUAAUGGAUGAUUUACAAGAAUGUCGGUGGGUGUAAUUUUGAGCCAGGGAUCUAUCGGAAACAGCCUCUACUUCGUCUGGGUUAGUGGUAUGGAAUACGUACACUUUACCCAACCCAGACACCACUUUGUGGGACUAUGCUGGGUAUAUUGUUGUUGUUGUCGCCAGUGGGUGUAAUUUCCACACUUCCAAUGGCACAGGACUACUGAUGUUGCUUGAUCUGGAAAAUGGGCAGUGAUGAUGAUUUGCUUCUUUAUGGGCUAUACUCUACUUUACUGCAUUGAUGAAAUGUGACCCGUAUCUUGGCGGGGCAAUCCGGUACGGCUUCCAUUUGCAAACCGGUGUCUUGCAGCCAUGGCGUGUGUUGCUUUCUCUUUGCAUGUUCGUAGAACAGCAAAAUCUGAGUCUUAAAAGUUUUACGGGAAGUAUUAAAUGGAUGGCAAUUUGCCAUCAAAUUUUUAGCUAAAAAAUGAGGCAAUUGGAGAUAAGGAGAUUUUUCAGGGUGGUUGACCAUCUCCGGCAUGCCUAUGAUUUUGUUUUUGCUCUUAUCAACAGCCCUUUUAUCAUAUCUUUGAGAUCUAUGUCUACAUUACUCUAUAUAAUAAGAGUGAACGGGAGAGGAGCUUAGGAUAGGUUCCAAAAAUGAAAACUAAGCUCCUCAAAGUCCCAGUUAUUAUUAGUAAAAAUAACAUAAAUACCAACCCUUUUGGAAGUAAUUACACUCUCUCCCACUUUUUUAAUUACUUUACUCUCGCUCCCUAUUAAUAUACAUAACAUAGCCGACAUAUACAUAGCAUUCUGUAUAUGUUGGGAUAUUUGUAAUAUGUUUAGGGAGUUGGGAUUUUUUGUAAUAUUGGAAACAUAAGUUGUGUAUUUGUGUAAUUUUUAGUUAUUAUUAUUUGAGGACUUUUCUUCAGCUGCUUCAAUCGUAAUCAUGAUUUUACUGUAUCACCCUAAUUAAUUAUUAUAAGUCACAUGUCCCGUUAAAUACAAGAUAGCCGCUUUUGAUGGUGCUAAGGGCACAAGACAACUGAUACUGAUAUUGAUUUGCUUCUUUCUGAGCUAUAAUCUACUUUUGAGAAAAUUCAACUUGCAUCUUGGCAAGGCGACCUCAGCAUUGCUUAGCCCAGAAAGGAAGAAUGAGACAUCACGGAGAGAAAUGGGAUUUUCUGUAAAGGGUGGUUGCCCUCUCUCUGAUAUGUCAAUGAUUUCUUCUCCAUUCAUAAAACACCAACAGCCCUUUGAGAAAAAAGAAAGACGAUGCUUUUAGUUUUUUCUGCUUAACUCUCGGCUUUUCUUAAUUACAUCUUUUUGCCCUUGGCAUUUUCUUAAACUGUGAUGGAGGAAUUAAUGUCCACUCUUACAAUAAAACUCAGAUAUAAAAAAUGAAACAGCAGAGAGAGCUGGAGUUUCUGUGAAGGGUGGUUGCCCCUCUCUGCUAUGUCGGUGAUUUCUUUCUCCAUUAAUAAGAAACCAACAGCCCUUUGAGAAAAAAGAAAAGAUCAAGAAAAUGGAAGACUUGUAGACGUUUUGCCAUGAAAUCCAUAUAUUUAUAUGUAUGUAUAUAUACACUUCUUCCUUUUUCUGCUGGUGCUCCUGCAAGGUAGAAAUGGUACAACUAGGUAGCUGCUUUUUUAAGAGUUCGGAACCUAAAUGAGGUGUUUUAUUGAUGUUGAUUGGUAUGAUAAAAUGGGCUGUGAUGAUGAUUUGCUUCUUUCUGGACUAUAAUCUACUUCACUGCAUUAAGAAAAUCCGACUUGUAUCUUGGCGAGGCAAUCCGGUAAGGCAUCCAUUUACAAACCGGUGUAUCUGCAGCCAUGGCGAUGUCGCUUUCUCUUUGCAUGUCUGUAAGUAGUAAACUCUGAGCCCUAAAGUGUACAACAAAUCAAUUUGAUGUUUUUUAUACUGUCAUUUGUCCUAGGCCGGGGGUUAUCGGAAACAGCCUCUUGACCCUCUCAAGUCUUUAAUUAGAAAAAGGGGACAAGUAGGUCCCACAAUAUUAUUAAGUUGAAAGAAAUGAAGUCACUUAAACAACUAGGACAGUUGUUCGACAUCUGCAUUAGUUGUCUCAACAACUAUCAAAGUUGUCCAACAACUUUGCACAGUUGUCGAACAAAACUUUGAUAGUUGUUGAGACAACUUCUAUAGUUGUUAGAGCGAAAAUGUUUUAAAAAAAAAAAACUGAAAUUUUUUUUUGUCCCUUUUACCUAAUUUUUAAAACUUGAAGGACCCUUACUUAAUUGAGAAACUUGUUUGUCCCUUUUAAUUCGAAGCCCCAAGUGUACUCGGGUAUGUUGUUGUUGUUGUUGUUGAAUGGAUGAGACUGAGAUACCCAAUUAGGUUCUUUGGUUUUUUUAAACACCCCAUUUUUUCAUUCUUACAAGCUUUGAUGGGCUGUGAUGAUUGUUCUUUUCUGGUCUACAUUCUUACAAGCUUUGAGAAAUCUGACAUGUAUCUUGGCAGGGCGACCCAGUAUGGAAACAUCUUACAACCUGGUGUCUGCAGCCAUGGCGUGUCCGCUUUCUCUUUGCAUGAUCAUAUAUACAAAAGCAAAAUCUGAGCCCUAAAAUUUUAUUCUUCAGGGAAUUCAUUCUGUACUCAUCCGAUGGUUGAGCUUUGGCGUGGCAUCUUUGGGGCUCUUGUGUCAUAUGGGUUGGUGAAAUUACAAUAAACUUACAACUAAACUUACAAGUGAAGAAAAUAUAAAAGACUAUCUUCUUCCACGGCUGAAGCGCGGAUAUCUCGCUCUCUUUAAGGAGAUUCAAGCCCGUUGCAGCAAAUGUUUCACCGGUCCAGCAGUUAUCUUCUUGACUUGUCCCCUCCAGGAUACAACGGCCUUCUCACAACAACUCAUGACAAGAGUUGAGUUCAAAGCUCCACAAUAAGAACACCACCCUUCAACUAAUAAACUCUCUUAUUUGGCUGAGCCUCCCAAAUAUCUGUUUGUGAAGGAAUGAGGCUUUUUCAUGGAACUCGAGAAAGGUUGAGAUUUUUUAAGGGUGGUUGCUCUCUUUCUCUGAAGUUCAAUUUAGCCUAUGAAUUUUUCUGUUCUUCUGUUACAAUGAGAAAGAUUAACAACCCUUUCAUCAUCUAAUGCCAAAUAUGAUCUUGUUGCUGAGGAUGAUUAGCCAUGGCUAUGGUAACGUUAAAGGAAAUACAUAUUCAACCCCCCAACUUGUCCGGGAAAACCCGACUGUCCUGAAUCCUGAACUUUGUGAAUGAGGCUGUGAUUAUAUUCUCCUAAAAUCUUGCAAAUCAGAUUUUUGAGCUGAUUAAUAACUUGGCUACGCAAAGGCAGCAGAAUUUGUGAGGUUGGUUUUAUCUCUUUCUGUCUAUCUGUGACUACUUUGCUCCCGCGUGCCUGCUUUUCAGGAAAAGCAGCAGCAAGAGCAUAGAAAAAUGAGGUUCAGCACAGUAUGAAGAAUGGAAAAGGGACAAAUAUACCCUUUUACUAUGAAGAAUGGAAAAAGGCCAAAUAUACCCUUUUACUAUGAACAAUGAGGCCGACAGAAAGAGAAGGGAAUUCUUGGAGGGUGGUUGACCUCUCCAACUGGCCUGUGAUUUCUCCUGCAAUCAAACCAACAACCCUCUUCAGAUGUACUAGUACUGUAUUCUUGUUUUUCUGAGGUUAGCAAACAUGCUCUGAUCUUAUGUAGCAAUUGUUAAAAAUUUGCUUGAAAUUGUCCAAACGCCUACUUGUGGUAAAGUUUCUAUCUUUCAAAAGUGGCUGUGAUGAUAAUUUCGCCAUCAGACAGAUAGGAGAAUCCUCACCAUUGGUUAGCUCAGAAAAGAAGAAUGAGACGUUAGAGAGAGAGAGGUUUUCUUUAAAGGGUGGUUGCCCCUCUCUUCCAUGUCCAUGAUUUCUUCUCGAUUCAGGAAAAAACAACAGCCCUUUCAGAAGAAAAUAGAACAACAUUCUUGAUUUUCGUAUGUGUGUGAGAGUAUGUAUGUAUGUAUAUGUAGAUAUAUAUUUCCAUGUCCAAACACCUACUACAGCUGAUUUUCUCAAAUAGUUACUUUUACGUCCCUGUAAAAUACUAGGUAGAAAUGACACAAGAUAGCGGCUCUUAAUGGAUCUGAUUGGCCUGUGAUUUCUCCUGCAACCAAAUCAACAACCCUGUUCAGAUGUACUUGUACUGUUUUCUUGGUUUUCUGAGGUUAGCAAACAUGCUCUGAUCUUAUGUAGCAAUUUUUAAGAACUGCUUGAAAUUGUCCCAACUCCUACUUGCGGUGAAGUUCCCAUCUUUCAAAAGUGGCUGUGAUGAUAAUUUAGCCAUCAGACAGAUGGGAGAAUCCUCACCAUAGUUUAGCUCAGAAUGGAAGAAUGAGACAUUAGAGAGAUAGGUUUUCUGUAAAGGGUGGUUGCCCCUCUAUUCCAUGUCCAUGAUUUCUUCUCGAUUCAGGAAAAAUCAACAGCCCUUUCAGAAGAAAAAAGAACAACAUUAUUGUUUUCGUGUCGCUGUGUUUGUGUGUGUGGGUGUGGGUGUAUAUAUAUAUAUAUAUAUUUCCAGGUCCAAAUGCCUACUACAGCUGAUUUUCUCAAAUAGUUACUUUUAUGUCCCUGUAAAAUACAAGGUAGAAAUGACACAAGAAGUUAGCGAAUUUUAAUGGAUCAUUUAUAAGAAUGUUGAUUGAUCUGAAAAAAAUGGGCUAUGAUGAUGAUUUGCUUCUUUUGGGGCUAUAUCUACUUCACUGCAUUGAGAAGAUCCGACCCGUAUCUUGGCGGGGCGACCAGGUAUGGCAUCAUCUGCAAACUGGUAUCUGCAGCCAUGGCGAGGUCGCUUUGUCUUUGCAUGUUUGUAGAAUGGCAAAAUCUGAGUCCUGAAAUGUACGGCAACCAUUUGAUGGUCAGUUAUCAGGAACUGAAAUACUCAAUUAUGUUCUUUUUCUUGAAAGCCCCCUUUCAGAUGCAUUACUAUAUCAAAUUUUAGCUCAAAAAUGAGGUAGUUGAAGUAAAAAGGGAUAUUUCAGGGUGGUUGACCAUCUCCGGUAUGCCAGUGAUUUUAUCUUAGCUCUAAUCAACAGCCUUUUUAGCAUAUGUAUGAGGUCUGUAUGUAUAUGUAUAUGUAUAUGUAUGUGUAUUGUAUAUAUGUGUUUCUCUAUCUGUGACUACUUCGGUCCUGUUUGGCUGCAUUUUCAGAUGAAGCAGCAGCAGAAGCAUAGAAAAGAGACAGUAAAACAAACUUACAGGGUCUCUGUUUAAAGUAUCUCUUAAUAAAUCAGAGUGUUCUACAGAAAAAUGGAGGUUCAGCCCACUAUUAAGAAUGAGGCUGGCAGAGAGAAGGGAAUUCUUUGAGGGUGGUUGCCCGCUCUAUUUAACCUAUGAUUUCCCCUUAAACAAAAUCAACAACCCUCUUCAGAUGUACUGGUUCUAGUACUGUUUCUUGUUUUCUCUAAGCGUCGCUCUAAUUUUCGCUUAUGUUUGUUAAAAAUUGCUCAAAAUUUUCCAAGCGCCUACUUAUGGGAAAGUUUCCAUCUUUCAAAAGAGGCUGUGAUGAUAAUGCUUAUGGCAGAACCUUCAUCAUAGUAUAGUCCAGGAAGUGAGAAAUGAGACAUCAGAGAGAUCGGAUUUUCUGUAAUGGGUGGUUGGCCCUCUCUACCAUGUCCAUGAUUUCUUCUCCGUUAAUAAAAACCAACAGCCCUUUGAGAAAAAAACAGACAAGAAAAUGAUUAAUGGAUUAUAUAUAUGUUUCUUCCUUUUUCGGCUUAUGCUUCUGCCACUACUGUAGCUGAUCUUUGCAAAUAGCACUUUUAUGUCCCUGUAUGUAUAAACAACAACAUAUUCAGUGAUUCCCACCCUAGACUUGUUUGAAGAGUCCGAGCAACAUAGUUCCCACCUGGGGUCUGAGGAGGGUAGGAUAUACACAAACCUUACCCACCUACCUUUGUGGAAUAGAGAGUCUGUUUUUGGUAGACCCUUGGCUCGAAAAGAAUGUUAUCGAGGCAGGCUUGCAGGAAAAAUAUAACAACCAAAUAGCAAAAUGGGUGAUUUAUGUCCCUAUAUGUACAAGGUAGAAAGGACCCAACAAGGUACCGCUUUUAAUGGGUGAUUUACAAGAAUGUCAGUGGGUGUAAUUUUGAGCCAAGGAUCUAUCGGAAACAGCCUCUACUUCGUCUGUGGUAGUGGUAUGGACUACGUACACUUUACCCUCCCCAGACCCCACUUUGUGGGAUUAUGCUGGGUAUAUUGUUGUUGUUGUCGCCGGUGGGUGUAAUUUCCACACUUUCAAUGGCACAAGACAACUGAUGUUGCUUGAUCUGAAAAUGGGCAGUGAUGAUGAUUUGCUUCUUUUUGGGCUAGACUCUACUUUAGUGCGUUGAUGAAAUUUGACCCAUAUCUUGGCGGGGCAAUCCAGUACGGCUUCCAUUUGCAAACCGGUGUCUUGCAGCCAUGGCGUGUGUUGCUUUCUCUUUGCAUGUUCGUAGAACAGUAAAAUCUGAGCCUAAACAUUUUACGGGAAGUAUUAAAUGGAUGGCCAUUCUCUGGAACUGGAAAAUUCAAUUGGGUUCUUCAGUUCUUUCAGAUGCAGUUUGCCAUCAAACUUUUAGCUAAAAAAAAGAGGCAAAUGGAGAAAAGGAGAUUUUCAGGGUGGUUAACCAUCUCCAGCAUGUCUAUGAUUUUGUUUUUGCUCUAAUCAACAGCCCUUUUAGCAUAUCUUUGUGAUCUGUGUCUACAUUACUCUAUAAACUAAGAGUGAACGGGAGAGGAGCUUAGAGUCGUUUUCCAAAAAUGACAACUAAGCUCUUCAAAGUCCCAGUUAUUAUUAUUUGAGGACUUUUCUUCAGCUGCUUCAAUCCCGAUUUUACUGUAUCACCCCCUAAUUAAUUAUUAUAAGUCAUAUGUACCUCUCAAUACAAGAUAGCCGCUUUUGAUGGUGCUAAGGGCACAAGACAACUGAUAUUGAUAUUGAUUUGCUUCUUUCUGAGCUAUAAUCUACUUUUGAGAAAAUUCAACUUGCAUCUUGGCAAGGCGACCUCAGCAUUGCUUAGCCCAGAAAUGAAGAAUGAGACAUCAGAGAGAAAUGGGAUUUUCGGUUAAGGGCGGUUGCCCUCUCUCUGAUAUGUCGAUGAUUUCUUCUCCAUUCAUAAUACACCAACAGCCCUUUGAGAAAAAGAAAAGACGAUGCUUUUGGUUUUUUCGGCUUGACGCUCGGCUUUUCUUGAUUACAUCUUUUUGCCCUUGGCAUUUUUUUAAACCUUGAUUGAGAAAUUAAUGUCCACUCUUACAAUAAAACUCAGAUAUAAAAAAUGAGACAUCAGAGAGAGCUGGAGUUUCUGUAAAGGGUGGUUGCCCCUCUCUGCUAUGUCAGUGAUUUCUGUCUCCAUUAAUAAUAAACCAACAGCCCUUUGAGAAAAAAAGAAAAGAUCAAGAAAAUGAAAGAGAGACCGUAGGCGUUUGGCCAUGAAUUCCAACUAUAUAUAUAUCUAUACUUCUUCCUUUUUCUGCUUGUGCCUCUGCUAGGUAGAAAUGACACAACAAGGUAGCUGCUUUUUUAAGAGUUCGGAACCUAAAUGAGGUGUUUUAUUGAUGUUGAUUGAUAUGAUAAAAUGGGCUGUGAUGAUGAUCUGCUUCUUUCUGGACUAUAAUCUACUUCACUGCAUUAAGAAAAUCUGACUCGUAUCUUGGCGGGGCAAUCCGGUAAGGCAUCCAUUUGCAAACCGGUGUAUCUGCAGCCAUGGCGAUGUCGCUUUCUCUUUGCAUGUCUGUAAGUAGUAAAAUCUGAGCCCUAAAGUGUACGACAAAACCAUUUAAUGUUUUUUAUACUGUUAUUUGUCUUGAGCCGGGGGUUAUCGGAAACAGCCUCUUGACUUUAUCUGAGGUAGUGGUACGGACUGCAUACAUUUUACCCUCCCUAGACCCCACUUUGUGGGAGUACACUGGGAAAAAUGAGCUCAAAGACCCUCUCAAGACUGCAUUAGUUGUCUCAACAACUAUCAAAGUUGUCUCAACAACUAUCAAAGUUGUCCAACAACUUUGCAAAGUUGUCGAACAACUUUGAUAGUUGUUGAGACAACUUCUAUAGCUGUUGAGACAACCUCGUUAGUUGUUGGAGCGAAAAUGUUGAAAAAAAACUGAAAAAAAUUUGUCCCUUUUACCUAAGUUUUAAAACUUGAAGGACCUUGACUUAAUUGAGAAACUUGUUUGUCCCUUUUAAUUCAAAGCCCCGAGUACACUGGGUAUGUUGUUGUUGUUGAAUGGAUGGUCCUUUUCGGGGACUAAGAUACCCAAUUGGGUUCUUUGUUUUUUUUUAACACCCCAUUUAAGAUGCGGAGCUCCCUCAAAUUUUUAGCUCUAAGGUGAGGCAAUCGAAGCAAAAAAGGGGUUUUCAGGAUGGUUGACCUUCAGCUCAAAAAUAGCAUUUUAAAAACAGGUUUUGAGGAAAAAAGUCGUGGUCGGUGGACCUGGUAUGGCAUCAUUUGUAAACCUGUCUCUGCUUAUGCUGCCACUGCUGAUUUUUAGAAAAGGGACACUGAAAUGGGCUGUGAUGAUUGUUCUUUUCUGGUCUACGUUCUUGCUAGCUUUGAUAAAUCUGACAUGUAUCUUGGCAGGGCGACCCAGUAUGGCAACAUUUUGCAACCUGGUGUCUGCAGUCAUGGUGUGUCCGCUUUCUCUUAGCAUGUUCAUAUACAAAAGCAAAAUCUGAGCCCUCAAAUUUUAUUCUUCAGGGAAUUCAUUCUGUACUCAUCAGAUGGUUGAGUUUUGGCAUGGCAUCUUUGGGGCUCUUGUGACAUAUGGGAGCCAUUUAGGUUUCUCUUUCUCACAAAGGCUUCUUAAGCUUGCAGCCAUAGUGGAGUUUUGCUCAUGUCUUAGAAAAGGUUAAUCUGAGCCUCCCAAAUAUCUGUUCGUGAAGGAAUGAGGCUUUUUCAUGGAACUCGAGAAAGGUUGAGAUUUUCUAGGGGUGGUUGCUCUCUUUCUCUGAAGUUCAAUUUAGCCUAUGAAUUUUUCAGUACUUCUGUUACAAUGAGAAAGAUUAACAACCCUUUCUUCUGCUAAUGCCAAUUAUAAUCUUGUUGCUGAGUGUGAUUAGCCAUCUCUAUGGUAACAUUAAAGGAAAAUACAUAUUCAAUCCCCCAACUUGUCCUGAACCCUGAACUUUGUGAAUGAGGCUGUGAUGAUAUUCACCUAAAAUCAUGAAAAUCAGAUUUUUGAGCUGAUUAAUAACUUGGCUACGCAAAGGCAGCAGAAUUUGCGAGGUUGGUUUUAUGUGCUUCUCACAUAGGCGACUGCUUUUUGCAGCCGUGGGUAGGCAAAUCUGAGCCUCUUUUCCCUGUGGAGUCUCAUGGUCGCUGAGGAUUCAUGGAGCCUCUAGCUCGUGAAUUUGUUUUUCCUCUGUGCAAUCGUACAGAACAGGAGCAACGAUGAUGUUUCACUUUCUGGGCUAGCUGUAUCAAGAAAUUGGACAAUUUGACCCGCGGCAUGGCAAAUCAGUGGAUGGUUGGCAUUUGAGAUUCUCUCUUUUGCAUGUAACCAGUGAUUUUGCAGCCAUGGCGUGGUUGCCUUUUCUUAGCUUGACCAAGGUCAAGUUGAGCCUCUAAUUUUUUUUAUUUUUUAUUUUUGACUUGCACCGGGUGUCCAAGACUCUGCGAGCCCUGACUAAUCCCAGGAGUGCACAGGCCCUCGGCAAGGAAUUUCCCGCUAGUGCACCAAGGAUAUAGUUGAGCCUCUAAUUUCUGGGAGUCGAACUUGGUUCUUCUUGUUCUUUGAAAUCUUUCGGAACUCAAGGAUAUAGUGGUACGAGCCUAUAGAACUGAUCCUGUUCUCGUCAAGUUGAGUUGACACAGUUCGGUAAGUAUUCGACAGAAACUAAAAGUUCUAUCGUUCUUAAAAGACUAAAACCCUUAACUGCAUACUUAGGGGUCAUUUGGUUGGGAAAGUUAUCCUGGGGUUAGUUAUCCCACCAUGCAUAUGGGAUAACUUAUCCCAUCACUAUGGUAUAAAUGGUGGGAUAAAUAAUCCUGAUACUAACUACUACCUCCAACCAAACAUGGGAUAAAAUAAUCCUUCACUUUAUCCCGGGACUAUUUAUCCUAUAUACCUCACACCAAAUGACCCCUUAAGGAACUAUUUUGACUGUACCCUCAAACAUAUGAGACUAUUCUUGAAAUUUUCUUCUAUAUAUUAUUCUUUUGACACACCAGUAACGAAUCGGUCCAGAAGGAAAAAUGAGGCCAACAGAGAGAUAAAAUGGAUUUCUUGGAGGGUGGUUGCCCUCUCUGAUUAGCCUAUGAUUUUUCGACUAACCAAACCAACAACCCUCCUUUGGUAUAUUUUUGUGAAUUUCCCAAAA